GGAGGGUUGCUAGGGCUACAAUCUCGGUCGUGAGCAAAAAAGUACCAGAGUGGAUCUUCUUACUAGCCCAAAUGCCUCCUUUAUAACCUACCAUGUACCAGCUACAUACACAUCCAAUACAUGUCCAUUACGACACUGAUAGGUGGCAAUGGUGAGAGCACCUAGAGGGGGGGUGAAUAGGUGAUCCUGUAAAACUUCAAAACUUAAGCCACAAAAACUCGUUAAGUGUUAGCACAGUUAUGGCCAAGUGGCUAGAGAGGAGUCAAAACACAAUAACCACAAGAAAUCAAUCACAGAGAUGACACGGUGGUUAUCCCGUGGUUCGGCCAAGUACAAAACUUGCCUACUCCACGUUGUGGCGUCCCAACGGACGAGAGUUGCACUCAACUUCUCUCAAGUGAUCCAAUGAUCAACUUGAAUACCACGGUGUUCUUCUUUUCUUUUCUCAAUCCCGUUUGCGAGGAAUCUCCACACUUUGGAGCCUCUCGCCCUUACAAAAGAUGUUCACAGAGAAUCACGGAGCAAGGGAGGGAUUAGCAACUCACACACGACACAAAGAUCACAGCGAAUACGCACACACAAGACCCAGACUUGAGCUCAAGAAACUAGCACACUAGAACGGAGCUCAAAUCACUAGAAUGUCGAACAAGUGCGCAAGAUUGAUGUGUGAGUGAUCAAGAGUGCUCAAGGAAUGCUUGGUUCUCUCCUCCAUGCGCCUAGGGGUCCCUUUUAUAGCCCCAAGGCAGCUAGGAGCCGUUGAGAACAAAUCUGGAAGGCCAUCCUUGCCUUCUGUCGUCGGGCGCACCGGACAGUCCGGUGCACACCGGACACUGUCCGGUGCCCGAUUUCUUUCCUUAACAGGCGCAGCCGACCGUUGCCGACUGUUGCAGAUCUGGCGCACUGGACAGUCCGGUGCACACCGGACAGUCCGGUGCCUCCUUCCGACCGUUGGCCAGACCACGUGUCGCGCGCAGAUUCCGCGGCCGACCGUUGGCUCGGCCGACCGUUGGCUCACCGGACAGUCCGGUGCACACCGGACAGUCCGGUGAAUUAUAGUCGUACGCCGUCGGCAAAAUUCCCGAGAGCGGCCUCUUCGCCCGAGGCAGCCUGGCGCACCGGACACUGUCUGGUGCCCCAGACCGAAGCAGCCUUUUGGCUGUACACAGCCAACUCUUCUUCUUCCUUCUUCUCUCUGUUUCUAACACUUAGAUAAGUAUGUUAGUACACAAAACCAAUGUACUAAGGCUUAGAAACAUACCUUUACUUGUGAUUUGCAACUUGUCCAUCCAUGGGCAUAGAUUCACAUUUAAGCACUUUGUGUUGGCACUCAAUCACCAAAAUACUUAGAAAUGGCCCAAGGGCACAUUUCCCUUUCAAUCUCCCCCUUUUUGGUGAUUUAUGCCAACACAACAUAAAGCAACUAGAACAAGUUCAAAAUCACUUCAAAUAAAACAAAUUUGAGUUUUAUUCAAUUUUGGCAUAUAUGGAUCAUCGUUUGCCACCACUUGGUUUGUUUUUGUAAAUCAAACUCACAUCUCUAUCUCUAAGUCAAACACACAUGUUGAAGCAUAAAGAGAGUCAUUCCAAAAAGAGAUUGAUCAAAGAUUUCAAAAACUCCCCCUAUUUCCCAUAAUCAAUACUUCUCCCCACAAGAAGCCAACUUUUGACAAAAGAGACAACAAGAGAGUUUUGACAAAACAAAAGCUCUACUUUACUAUUUUCAAAUCUCUGAAGUGGUAGCUGAUCCAUUUAUUGCUUUUGCCUUUAUUUUCUCCCCCUUUGGCAUCAAGCACCAAAACGGGAUCAACUUUGGCCCUUUAACCCCAUUGCCUCACCAAAAACUUCAAUAAGAUCAAUUGGCAAUAAGAGUUCAUGAGAUGGACUUGGAAUAAGUUACCCUCUCAUCGGAGUGCAGUGGAAGUCUUUCAUGGUCCAAGUCCACCUUUUCCCUUUCAAUUUUCCUUCGAGACUAAAUCAAACAAUCUCAAGCAUAUGGUUAGUCUCAAAGGGUCAAGUUGUAACACAUCUCCCCCUAAACAUGUGCAUCACUUUUGCAACGGACUUGUGAGGUCCAGGGAGUGUUUGUACAACUUGAGCACCAUAAUAAGCAACAAAAUGCAGAAUGAACAUGAUCAAAGGCAUAAACACAUGUAUGCUACAAUUCAAUCCAAGUUCCGCGAAUCUAAGACAUUUAGCUCACUACGCAGCCUGCAAAAGGUCUUCUCAUCUAGAGGCUUGGUAAAGAUAUCGGCUAGCUGGUUCUCGGUGCUAACAUGAAACACUUCGAUAUCCCCCUUUUGCUGGUGGUCUCUCAAAAAGUGAUGCCGGAUGUCUAUGUGCUUUGUGCGGCUGUGCUCAACAGGAUUUUCCGCCAUACGGAUAGCACUCUCAUUGUCACAUAGGAGUGGGACUUUGCUCAGAUUGUAGCCAAAGUCCCGGAGGGUUUGCCUCAUCCAAAGUAGUUGCGCGCAACACUGUCCUGCGACAACGUACUCGGCCUCAGCGGUGGAUAGGGCAACGGAAGUUUGUUUCUUAGAGUUCCAUGACACCAGGGACCUUCCUAAGAAUUGGCACGUCCCCGAUGUGCUCUUCCUAUCGACCUUACAUCCAGCAUAGUCGGAGUCUGAGUAUCCAACCAAGUCAAAGGUAGACCCCUUUGGAUACCAGAGCCCGAAGCAAGGCGUAGCAACUAAAUAUCUCAGAAUUCGCUUCACCGCCACUAAGUGACACUCCUUAGGAUCGUAUUGAAAUCUAGCACACAUGCAUACGCUAAGCAUAAUAUCCGGUCUACUAGCACAUAAGUAAAGUAAUGAACCUAUCAUUGACCGGUAUGCUUUUUGAUCAACGGACUUACCUCCUUUAUUGAGGUCGGUGUGUCCGUCGGUUCCCAUCGGAGUCUUUGCGGGCUUGGAGUCCUUCAUCCCAAACCGCUUUAGCAGAUCUUGCGUGUACUUUGUUUGGGAGAUGAAGGUACCGUCCUUGAGUUGCUUCACUUGGAACCCAAGGAAGUAGUUCAACUCGCCCAUCAUCGACAUCUCGAAUUUCUGCGUCAUCACCCUGCUAAACUCUUCACAAGACUUUUGGUUAGUAGAACCAAAUAUUAUGUCAUCGACAUAAAUUUGGCACACAAACAAAUCACCAUCACAUGUCUUUGUAAAAAGAGUUGGAUCAGCUUUCCCAACUUUGAAAGCAUUAACAAUUAGAAAGUCUCUAAGGCAUUCAUACCAUGCUCUUGGGGCUUGCUUAAGUCCAUAGAGCGCCUUAGAGAGCUUACACACAUGGUCGGGGUACUGUUCAUCCUCGAAGCCAGGGGGUUGCUCCACGUACACCUCUUCCUUGAUUGGCCCGUUGAGGAAUGCGCUCUUCACAUCCAUUUGGUACAGCCUGAAAGAAUGAUGAGCGGCAUAUGCUAGCAAGAUACGAAUUGAUUCUAGCCUAGCCACAGGAGCAAAAGUCUCCUCGAAAUCCAAACCUGCGACUUGGGCAUAACCUUUUGCCACAAGUCGAGCCUUGUUUCUCGUCACCACCCCGUGCUCGUCCUGUUUGUUGCGGAACACCCACUUGGUUCCCACAACAUUUUGCUUCGGACGAGGCACCAGUGUCCAAACUUCAUUCCUCUUGAAGUUGUUGAGCUCCUCCUGCAUGGCCAACACCCAGUCCGGAUCUAGCAAGGCCUCCUCUACCCUGAAAGGCUCAAUAGAAGAGACAAAGGAGUAAUGCUCACAAAAAUUAACUAAUCGAGAUCGAGUAGUUACUCCCUUGCUAAUGUCACCCAGAAUUUGGUCGAUGGGAUGAUCCCUUUGAAUCAUUGCUCGAACUUGGGUUGGAGGUGCCGGUUGCGCUUCUUCUUCCAUUACAUUAUCAACUUGUGCUCCUCCCACUUGUUUACCUGCUUGACAAGCUGCACAAGGUCUAUCCUUUUCGAAUUGCACGUUAGUCAAACCUAUCACAUGUUCUCCCUUUAGAAGCUUGUGAAGGUUCUUCAUCCCCACAUGUGCUAAGCGGCGAUGCCACAGCCAGCCCAUGCUAGUCUUAGCUAUUAAGCAUGCAUCUAGACCGGCCUCUUCUUUUGCAAAAUCAACUAAAUAAAGUUUGCCGUCUAAUACACCCUUAAAAGCUAGUGAACCAUCACUUCUUCUAAAGACAGACACAUCUACAUUUGUAAAUAGACAGUUAUACCCCAUGUUGCAUAAUUGACUAACAGAUAGCAAAUUAUAACCAAGAGACUCUACUAAAAACACAUUAGAGAUAGAGUGCUCAUUAGAAAUUGCAAUUUUACCUAACCCUUUUACCUUGCCUUGAUUCCCAUCACCGAAUACAAUUGAAUCUUGGGAAUCCUUAUUUUUGACGUAGGAGGUGAACAUCUUCUUCUCCCCCGUCAUAUGGUUUGUGCAUCCGCUGUCGAUAAUCCAGCUUGAACCCCCGGAUGCAUAAACCUGCAAGGCAAAUUUAGGCUUGGGUUUUAGGUACCCAACUCAUGUUGGGUCCUACAAGGUUAGCACAAAUAUCUUUAGGGACCCAAAUGCAAGUUUUGUCUCCCUUGCAUCUUGCCCCUAACUUCCUAGCAACAAUUUUCUUAUCCUUUCUACAAAUAGCGAAGGAAGCAUUCAAGGCAUGAUAUAUUGUAGAAGGUUCAUUAACUCUCCUAGGAACAUUAACAACAUUUCUCCUAGGCAUAUUGUGAACAACAUUUCUCCUACUAACAUUUCUAUCAUGCAUAACAUGAGAACUAGAAGCAGUCAUAGCAUAAGAGUCAUAAGCAUGUGAAUCAAAAACAUCAUUACCUCUAAAAGCAUUUCUAGAGUAUCUCCUAUCAUAGUACAUGAAAGCAUGAUUCUUCUUAACACUAUUGGCCAUAGGAGCCUUCCCUUUCUCCUUGGUGGAGAUAGGAGUCUUAUGGCUUGUUGAGUUCUUGGCUUCCCUCUUGAAGCCAAGCCCAUCCUUAAUUGAGGGGUGUCUACCAAUAGUGUAGGCAUCCCUUGCAAAUUUUAGUUUUUCAAAUUCACUCUUGCUAGUCUUAAGUUGGGCAUUAAGACUAGCUAAUUCAUCAUUCAAUUUUGAAAUGGAAACUAAGUGUUCACUACAGGCAUUAAUAUCAACAUCCUUGCACCUCGUGCAAAUUUCAACAUGUUCAACACAAGAGUUGGAUUUAUGUGCUUCUACUAGUUUAGCAUUUAAGUCAUCAUUAAUGCUCUUUAAUUUAGAAAUAGAAUCAUGGCAUGUAGACAAUUCAUAAGCAAGCAUUUCAUUCCUCUUAAUUUCUAAUGCAAGGGAUUUUUGAGCCUCUACAAACUUAUCAUGUUCUUCAUACAACAAAUCCUCUUGCUUUUCUAAAAGUAUAUUCUUUUCAUUCAAGGCAUCAAUUAAUUCAUUAAUUUUAUCUAUCUUAGAUCUAUCUAAGCCCUUGAACAAACAUGAAUAAUCUACUUCAUUCUCAUCACUAGAUUCGUCCUCACUUGAAGAAGCAUAGGUAGAGUUGCGAGUACAUACCUUCUUCUCCCUUGCCAUAAGGCAUGUGUGACGCUCGUUUGGGAAGAGGGUUGAUUUGUUGAAGGCGGUGGCGGCGAGUCCUUCAUUGUCGGAGUCGGAAGAGGAGCAAUCCGAGUCCCACUCCUUGCCUAGAUGCGCCUCGCCCUUUGCCUUCUUGUAAUUCUUCUUCUUUUCCCUCUUAUUUCCCUGUUCCUGGUCACUAUCAUUAUCGGGGCAGUUAGCGAUAAAAUGACCAAUCUUACCGCACUUGAAGCAUGAGCGCUUCCCCUUUGUCUUGGUCUUGCUUGGCUGCCCCUUGUGACCCUUUAGAACCGUCUUGAAGCGUUUAAUGAUGAGAGCCAUCUCCUCAUCAUUAAGUCCGGCCGCCUCAAUUUGUGCCACCUUGCUAGGUAGCGCCUCCUUGCUUCUUGUUGCUUUGAGAGCAAAAGGUUGCGGCUCGUUGAUCGGUCCAUUCAAGGCGUCGUCCACGUACCUUGCUUCCUUGAUCAUCAUUCGCCCGCUGACGAAUUUUCCUAAGACUUCUUCGGGCGACAUUUUGGUGUACCUGGGAUUCUCACGAAUAUUAUUCACCAAAUGAGGAUCAAGAACGGUAAAGGACCUUAGCAUUAGUCGGACGACGUCGUGGUCCGUCCAUCGCGUGCUUCCGUAGCUCCUUAUUUUGUUGAUAAGGGUCUUGAGCCGGUUGUAUGUUUGAGUUGGCUCCUCGCCCCUUAUCAUCGCGAACCGUCCAAGCUCUCCCUCCACCAACUCCAUUUUGGUGAGCAAGGUAGCGUCAUUUCCCUCAUGAGAGAUCUUGAGGGUAUCCCAGAUUUGCUUGGCGUUAUCCAAGCCACUCACUUUGUUAUAUUCAUCCCUGCACAAUGAAGCUAGAAGAACAGUAGUAGCUUGUGCAUUCUUAUGGAUUUGCUCAUUAAUGAAUAUAGGACUAUCCGAACUAUUAAAGUGCAUUCCACUAUCUACAAUCUCCCAUAUACUAGGAUGGAGAGAGAAUAGGUGACUACGCAUUUUGUGGCUCCAAAAUCCGUAGUCUUCUCCAUCAAAGUGUGGGGGCUUGCCAAGUGGAAUGGAAAGCAAAUGUGAAUUUGAACUUUGCGGAAUGCGAGAGUAGUCAAAAGAAAAGUUAGAAUUAACUGGUUUCCUUUGCUCGUAGUCGUUGUCCUUUUGGGAAGAGGAAGAUUCGUCGCUGUCGUAGUAGACAAUCUCCUUGAUGCGCCUUGUCUUCUUCUUCUUCCCAUCUUUUCGUCUAUGGUCUGAGCCCGAGUCGUUGGACUUGUCAUCCUUUGGCUCGUUGACGAAGGACUCCUUCUCCUUGUCGUUGAUCACGAUUCCCUUCCCCUUAGGAUCCAUCUCUUUGGGCGGUUAGUCCCUUUCUUGAAGAGAACGGCUCUGAUACCAAUUGAGAGCACCUAGAGGGGGGGGGGGUGAAUAGGUGAUCCUGUAAAACUUCAAAACUUAAGCCACAAAAACUCGUUAAGUGUUAGCACAGUUAUGGCCAAGUGGCUAGAGAGGAGUCAAAACACAAUAACCACAAGAAAUCAAUCACAGAGAUGACACGAUGGUUAUCCCGUGGUUCGGCCAAGUACAAAACUUGCCUACUCCACGUUGUGGCGUCCCAACGGACGAGAGUUGCACUCAACUCCUCUCAAGUGAUCCAAUGAUCAACUUGAAUACCAUGGUGUUCUUCUUUUCUUUUCUCAAUCCCGUUUGCGAGGAAUCUCCACACUUUGGAGCCUCUCGCCCUUACAAAAGAUGUUCACAGAGAAUCACGGAGCAAGGGAGGGAUUAGCAACUCACACACGACACAAAGAUCACAGCGAAUACGCACACACAAGACCCAGACUUGAGCUCAAGAAACUAGCACACUAGAACGGAGCUCAAAUCACUAGAAUGUCGAACAAGUGCGCAAGAUUGAUGUGUGAGUGAUCAAGAGUGCUCAAGGAAUGCUUGGUUCUCUCCUCCAUGCGCCUAGGGGUCCCUUUUAUAGCCCCAAGGCAGCUAGGAGCCGUUGAGAACAAAUCUGGAAGGCCAUCCUUGCCUUCUGUCGUCGGGCGCACCGGACAGUCCGGUGCACACCGGACACUGUCCGGUGCCCGAUUUCUUUCCUUAACAGGCGCAGCCGACCGUUGCCGACUGUUGCAGAUCUGGCGCACCGGACAGUCCGAUGCACACCGGACAGUCCGGUGCCUCCUUCCGACCGUUGGCCAGACCACGUGUCGCGCGCAGAUUCCGCGGCCGACCGUUGGCUCACCGGACAGUCCGGUGCACACCGGACAGUCCGGUGAAUUAUAGCCGUACGCCGUCGGCAAAAUUCCCGAGAGCGGCCUCUUCGCCCGAGGCAGCCUGGCGCACCGGACACUGUCCGGUGCACCACCGGACAGUCCGGUGCCCCAGACCGAAGCAGCCUUUUGGCUGUACACAGCCAACUCUUCUUCUUCCUUCUUCUCUCUGUUUCUAACACUUAGAUAAGUAUGUUAGUACACAAAACCAAUGUACUAAGGCUUAGAAACAUACCUUUACUUGGGAUUUGCAACUUGUCCAUCCAUGGGCAUAGAUUCACAUUUAAGCACUUUGUGUUGGCACUCAAUCAGCAAAAUACUUAGAAAUGGCCCAAGGGCACAUUUCCCUUUCAAAUGGCUAGUUGACCAGAUUGCCCACUACAAUGUACCAACCACCUGCUGCUAGGCCACCAUCAUCGCCACGGUUAGGCGGUUGUGCCUUGUGGGCUAUUGUUGUCCCUUGCUCUUGGAUUUAUCUGUUAGGAAUAUUGUAACACCCUCGUUUUUUAAAAUAUCAUUUUUUUUCUUUGAAAAGCACCCAAAAAUCAAUGUUUCUUUUUUCUUUCCUUAAAGGAGAGAAAUAUUUUCGAAAUAAUAAAAACAAACAAGAUAAAACUUGAGGGUUGUUUGUUGAAUUGCAAUGUGUUUUAUUUGAAUUCAAAGGGGCAAAUCAAUUUCCAAGGAAAUAAAAAGAAAAACAUCUCUUCUCUCCCCAACUCGACAUCUGGCCCAGCCCAAGUCACCACGUGUUUCGCCCCACGUCGGAACCCUGGCUGUGGGGCCCACUCAUCAGUUUGCGCCCGCAUGACCGUUGCUGACCUCGCUGUUGCGUCAGGUCCACUAGUCAAAUCCACCCCUCCCCCGCAACUAUCACCUUGCUCGGCCAGGAUGAGGACCGUGACGAACUCGGUAACCGCCUCGUCUCCACCUCACCAUGAUCAUGACCGGGCCAGCCGCAUGAAACUCCUACCCCUUUGUACGUUUUCCCUUCCCUCACACUCCACUGCGCCUUGCUCCACCACUGCAACGUUAAGCACGUCGCACAUCGAGCUCACAAGCACACCCGAAGGACUGUCGUCACUACCCAGCGCUGAAAGGGAAAUGUGCCCUUGGGCCAUUUCUAAGGAUUUUGGUGAUUAAGUGUCCAACACAAAUGCCUUAAGUAUUAAUAAGUGCCAAAUGGUGGAUGAAGUGAAAAUCAACACAAAGGUAUGAUUCUAGACUUAGUACAUUGAUUUUUGUGUACUAACAUAUUUGUCUAAGUGCUAGAAUCAGAGAAAACACAAAAGGAAAAAAGACUUGGCUGGAGCAGCCAAGACUCUGCGCAGUCUGGGUGCACCAGACAGUGUCCGGUGCGCCAGGCUGAAGUCUGGUCAAUUGGCCGCUCUCGGGAAUUCGUCGGCGGCAUACGACUAAAAUUCACCGGACUGUCCGGUGGUGCACCGGACUGUCCGGUGAGCCAACGGUUUGAAUGGGGCACCGGACUGUCCGGUGCCCACCGGACAGUGUCCGGUGCGCCAACGACUCCAAAUCUUCAACGGUCGGCUGCGCCAUUUUUGGAAAGCAAUCUGCACCGGACACUGAACAGUGCCUGUCCGGUGGCUCACCGGACUGUCCGGUGCGCCACCCGACAGAAGGCAAGAAUUGCCUUCCCUGAAAUCCUCCAACGACUCCUAGCUGCCUUGGGGCUAUAAAAGGGACCCCUAGGCGCAUGGAGGAGAAAUAUACAAGCAUUCUUUGAUCAUCUCUAAGCACCAAGACUUCAUUCUAGAGCAUUUGAUUCUUUGUGAUAGCAAUUUGAGCUCCUCUUGAGUUGAGAACUCCGUGUGUGAACUUAGAGCUCAAGCUGUGACUAGUGUGCGUGUUUGUGCUGUUGAGACUUGUGUGUGUUGCUUUUCCCUCCCUUACAUUCGUGCUUGUAAUCAUCAUUUGUAAGGGCGAGAGGCUCCAAGUUGUGGAGAUUCCUCGCAAACGGGAUAUUGUGAAAGAAAGAAAAACACCGUGGUAUUCAAGUGGAUCUUUGGAUCACUUGAAAGGGGUUGAGUGCAACCCUCGUCCAUUGGGACGCCACAACGUGGAGUAGGCAAGUGUUGUACUUGGCCGAACCACGGGAUACACCAUCGUGUCUCUUGUGUUUGUUCUCACUGUGACUAUUGUGUUUCACAAGAGCUCGGUCCUUAGCCACUUGAUUUCAUUGUACUAACACUUAAUCAAGUUUUGUGGCUUUAAGUUUUAAGUUUUUACAGGAUCACCUAUUCACCCCCCCUCUAGGUGCUCUCAAUUGGUAUCAGAGUCGUUCUCUUCACGAAAGGGACUAAUCGCCCGAAGGGAUGGAUCCUAAGGGAAAGGGGAUGGUGAUCAACGACAAGGAAAAGGAGUCCUUCAUCAAUGAGCCAAAAGACGACAAGCCCACUGACUCGGGCUCAAGUCACAAGAAGAAGGAUGGGAAGAAGAAGAGGCGCAUCAAGAAGAUAGUCUACUACGACAGCGAUGAGUCCUCUUCUUCCCAAAGAGACGACAACGACGAGAAAAAGAAAACGGUCAACUCAAACUUUUCUUUUGAUUAUUCUCGUAUUCCGCAAAAUUCCAAUGCUCAUUUGCUUUCCAUUCCUCUUGGUAAACCUCCACACUUUGAUGGAGAGGACUACGGAUUUUGGAGUCACAAAAUGUGUAGCCACUUGUUCUCUCUUCAUCCAAGUAUAUGGGAGAUAGUAGAAAAUGGAAUGCAAUUUGACAGUACGGACAAUCCCAUGUUUAUCAAUGAACAAAUUCACAAAAAAGCACAAGCUACCACUGUUCUUUUAGCAUCCUUGUACAGGGAAGAGUAUCAUAAGGUGGGCAGCUUGGAUAAUGCCAAGCAAAUUUGGGACACCCUCAAGAUCUCACAUGAGGGGAACGACGCCACCAUGAUCACCAAGAUGGAGUUGGUGGAAGGCGAACUAGGAAGGUUCACAAUGAUCAGGGGGGAGGAGCCAACUCAAAUGUACAACAGGCUCAAGACCCUGGUCAACAAAAUCAGGAGCUAUGGAAGCACGAGAUGGACGGACCACAACGUCGUCCGGCUUAUGCUAAGGUCCUUCACUGUCCUUGAUCCUCAUCUUGUAAACUCUAUUCGUGAAAAUCCUAGGUACACCAAGAUGACGCCCGAGGAAAUACUCGGAAAGUUUGUAAGCGGGCGAAUGAUGAUCAAGGAGGCAAGAUAUGUUGAUGAGGCGUUAAAUGGCCCAAUGCCGAUCCACGAGCCUCAAACCAUUGCUCUCAAAGCAACAAGCAGCAGGGAGGGGCUACCUAACAAGGUGGCGCAAGUUGAGGCGGCCGAGCUAAAUGAAGAUGAAAUGGCCCUCAUCAUCAAGCGCUUCAAGACGGCGCUCAAAGGUCGCAAGGAGCAUCCCAACAAGAGCAAGACGAAGGGAAAGCGCUCCUGCUUCAAGUGUGGUAAGAUUGGUCACUUUAUUGCUAAUUGUCCCGAUAAUGAUAGUGACCAGGAACAAGGAAAGAAUGGGAAGAGAGAGAACAAGAAGGUUUACAAGAAGGCUAAGGGCGAAGCACACCUUGGAAAAGAAUGGGACUCGGAUUGUUCUUCGUCCGACUCCGACGACGAAGGACUCACCGCCAUGGCCUUCAACAAAUCGUCUCUCUUCCCCAACGAGCAUCACACCUGCCUCAUGGCAAAGGAGAAGAAGGUAAGCACUCGAAAUACUAUUGCAUAUGCUUCUUCAAGUGAUGAUGAAUCUAGUGAUGAUGAAGUAGACUAUGCAAGUUUAUUCAAAGGCUUAGAUAGAACUAAAAUUGAUAAGAUCAAUGAAUUAAUUGAUGUGUUGAAUGAGAAGAAUAGAUUGCUAGAAAAGCAAGAGGAUCUUUUAUAUGAAGAGCAUGAUAAAUUUGUAAGUGUACAAAGGUCUCUUGCUUUAGAAGUUAAAAGAAAUGAAAUACUUUCAUGUGAAUUAUCUACUUGUCAUGAGUCUAUUUCUAGUCUAAAGAGUGUCAAUGGUGACUUAAAUCCUAAGUUAGAAGUAGCAAAUAAAUCUAGCUCAUGCAUUGAACAUAUAAUAAUUUGUAAUAGGUGUAAGGAUUUUAAUGUUGAUGCAUGUGUCGAGCACCUUACUUCUAUUGCAAAAUUAAAUGGUGAAGUGGCUAGUCUUAAUGCCCAACUUAAGACUAGCAAAAAUGACUUUGAUAAACUAAAAUUUGCAAGGGAUGCCUAGACUAUUGGUAGACACCCCUCUAUUAAGGAUGGACUUGGCUUUCGAAGGGAAGCCAAGAACUUAACAAGUCAUAAGGCUCCCAUCUCCACCAAGGAGAAAGGGAAGGCCCCUAUGUCUAAUAGUGGUCAAAAGAAUCAUGCUUUCAUUUAUAGUGAUAGAAAAUUCUCUAGAAAUGCUUAUAGGAACUAUGUUUAUGAUUCACAUGCUAUGUCUGCUUCUAGUUCCUCUGCUGUGCAUGGUAGAAAUAUGCCUAGGAAAAAUGUUGUUCAUAUGCAUAGGAAAGUAAGUAAUGAACUGUCUACAAUUUACCAUGCUUGUAAUGCUUCCUUUGCAAUUUGUAGUAAGAAUAAGAAAGUGAUUGCCAAGAAGUUGGGGGCCAAGUGCAAGGGAGACAAGACUUGCAUUUGGGUCCCAAAGACAAUUAUAACUAACCUUGUAGGACCCAACAAGAGUUGGGUACCUAAAACCCAAGCCUAAUUUACCUUGCAGAUUUAUGCAUCCGGGGGCUCAAGCUGGAUUAUCGACAGCGGAUGCACAAACCACAUGACGGGGGAGAAGAAUAUGUUCUCCUCCUACGUCAAGAACAAAGAUCCCCAAGAUUCAAUCAUAUUCGGUGAUGGGAAUCAAGGCAAGGUUAAAGGACUAGGAAAGAUAGAUAUUUCAUCCGAGCAUUCCAUAUCUAAUGUGUUUUUAGUUGAGUCGCUUGGGUAUAACUUGUUGUCCGUUAGUCAAUUGUGUAAUAUGGGUUACAAUUGCUUAUUUACAAAUGUAGAUGUGUCUGUCUUUAGAAGGAGUGAUGGUUCAUUAGCUUUUAAGGGUGUACUAGACGACAAACUCUAUUAGUUGAUUUUUCGAAGGAGGAGGCCGAUCUAGAUGCAUGCUUAAUCGCUAAGACUAGCAUGGGCUGGUUGUGGCAUCGCCGUCUAGCACAUGUGGGGAUGAAGAACCUUCACAAACUUCUAAAGGGAGAACAUAUGUUAGGUCUAACAAAUGUAACUUUCGAAAAAGAUAGACCUUGUGCAGCUUGUCAAGCAGGUAAACAAGUGGGAAGUGCUCAUCACAACAAGAAUGUGAUGACCACAUCAAGACCUCUGGAGCUACUUCAUAUGGAUCUCUUCGGACCCGUCGCCUACCUCAGCAUCGAGGGAAGUAAGUAUGGUCUUGUUAUAGUUGAUGAUUUUCCCGCUUCACUUGGGUAUUCUUUUUGCAGGAUAAAACAGAAACCCAAGGGACCCUUAAGCGCUUCCUAAGGAGAGCUCAAAAUGAAUUUGAGCUCAAGGUGAAAAAGAUAAGAAGCGACAACGGGUCCGAAUUCAAGAACCUUCAAGUGGAGGAGUACCUUGAGGAGGAAGUGAAAGGGAAUUAGGCUUACACCUAGUUCCUAAUUAAUUUUGGUGGUUGAAUUACCCAAUACAAAUUAUUGGACUAACUAGUUUGCUCUAGAUUAUAUGUUCUACAGGUGCCAAAGGUUCAUCUACAACUAUACUAAAUCGACUGUCCGGAAUACCGUAGAUUAUUCCGGACAGGAGAAGCUUUUUGGAAAAACAGACCAAGCGCGGACCGUCCGGGCCCUUGCGGCGGAUCGUCCGCAACACCAGGAUGACCCUCGGACAGAACCAAUACAAAAAUACGAGUCUGCACUAUGGACCGUCCGGAGGAAAAGCGCGGACCGUCUGAAACCUCGCGCGGACCGUCCGGCCUCAAGCGCGGACCGUCCGGUAGGCAAGGAAUCGAAAAACCCGAAGGUGACGGGUUCGGAAAAAUGAAUUAUAGCGGCCUCGCGGACCGUCCGGGGUGCACGACCGGACCGUCCGCGACUGGCUUUUUCUGACAUCUGACGACGCAUUAAAUGCAAUAUAGCCGUUGAUAUAGCCGUUACUGCUGACCGUUGCGUUUUCAGCCGUUGAUCUACAGGGGCGGACCGUCCGGACCAGGCGGGCGGACCGUCCGCGCUCAGCAGAAUGGAGCAACGGCUAGGAAGUGGUUGGUGGCUAUAAAUACAACCCCAACCACCUCCAUUCACUUCACUCAAGCAUUCCAACCUUCAACAUUCAAUACAAGAGCUAGCAAUCCAUUCCAAGACACAUUCAAAGCCUCCAUCUCUCCAAGUUUCACAAUUGAGAAAAGAGAUCAUUAGUGAUUGGUGACUUGAGAGAGAAAGUGAUCCUUGUGUUAUUUGUCGCUCUUGUCGCUUGGCUUUUGCAAUCGUGCUUUCUUUGAUUCUUCAUUGCGAUCAAACUCACUUGUAAUUAAGGCAAGAGACACCAAUCUUGUGGUGGUCCUUGUGGGAACUUUGUGUUCCAAGUGAUUGAGAAGAAAAGCUCACUCGGUCCGAGGGACCGUUUUGAGAGAGGGAAAGGGUUGAAAGAGACCCGGCCUUUGUGGCCUCCUCAACGGGGAGUAGGUUUGCGAGAACCGAACCUCGGUAAAACAAAUCCGUGUGUCACACUUCUUAUUUGCUUGCGAUCUGUUUUCCACCCUCUCUCAUGGACUCGAUUAUAUUUCUAACGCUAACCCGGCUUGUAGUUGUGAUUAACUUUGUAAAUUUUUAGUUUCACCCUAUUCACCCCCCCUCUAGGCGACUUUCAAUUGGUAUCAGAACACGGUACUUCAUUAGAGCCUAACCGCUCGAAGUAAUGUCGGGAGAUCACGCCAAGAAGGAGAUGGAGACCGGCGAAAAGCCCACUACAAGCCACGGGAAGACUUCAUCGGAAGAGUCCCGCAACAAGAGGAAGGAGAAGAAAGACUCCUCCAAAGGGAAGGAGAAGAAAUCUUCUUCACACAAAGAGAAGAAGGAGAAAUCCUCUUCCCACAAGCCGCAUCGGAGUGGGGACAAGAAAAAGAGGAUGAGGAAAGUGGUCUACUACGAGACCGAUUCUUCAUCAACAUCUACCUCCGGCUCCGACGCGGCGUCCGUCACUUCUAAGCGCCAAGAGCGCAAGAAGUAUAGUAAGAUUCCCCUACGCUACCCUCGCAUUUCUAAACAUACACCUUUGCUUUCCAUCCCAUUAGGCAAACCACCAACAUUUGAUGGUGAAGAUUACGCUAGGUGGAGUGAUUUAAUGCUAUUUCAUCUAACCUCACUCCACAAAAGUAUAUGGGAUGUUGUUGAGUUUGGUGCACAGGUACCAUCCGUAGGGGAUGAAGACUAUGAUGAGGAUGAGGUGGCCCAAAUCGAGCACUUCAACUCCCAAGCCACAACCAUACUCCUUGCCUCUCUAAGUAGAGAGGAAUAUAACAAGGUGCAAGGGUUGAAGAGUGCGAAAGAGAUUUGGGACUUACUCAAGACCGCGCACGAGGGUGAUGAACUCACCAAGAUCACCAAGCGGGAAACGAUCGAGGGGGAGCUCGGCCGCUUCCGUCUUCGCCAAGGGGAGGAGCCACAAGACAUGUACAACCGGCUCAAAACCUUGGUAAACCAAGUGCGCAACCUCGGGAGCAAAAAGUGGGAUGACCACGAGGUGGUUAAGGUUAUUCUAAGAUCUCUUAUUUUCCUUAACCCUACUCAAGUUCAAUUAAUUCGUGGCAACCCAAGAUAUACACUAAUGACCCCCGAGGAAGUAAUCGGGAAUUUUGUGAGCUUUGAGUAUAUGAUCAAGGGCUCGAAGAAGAUUAACGAGCUAGAUGAUCCCUCCACAUCCGCGGCACAACUGGUCGCAUUUAAGGCGACGGAGGAGAAGAAGGAGGAGUCUACAUCGAGUAGACAACCUGAUAGUCGCCUAGAGGGGGGGUGAAUAGGGCGAAACUGAAAUUUACAAAUAUAAACACAACUACAAGCCGGGUUAGCGUUAGAAAUAAAAACGAGUCCGCGAGAGAGGGUGGAAAACAAAUCGCAAGCAAAUGAAGAGUGUGACACGCGGAUUUGUUUUACCGAGGUUCGGUUCUUGCAAACCUACUCCCCGUUGAGGAGGCCACAAAGGCCGGGUCUCUUUCAACCCUUCCCUCUCUCAAACGGUCCCUCGGACCGAGUGAGCUUCUCUUCUCAAAUCACUUGGGAAUCAAACUUCCUGCAAGGACCACCACACACUUGGUGUCUCUUGCCUCAAUUACAAGUGAGUGUUUGAUCACAAGAAAGAAUGCCAAAGAAAAGAAGCGAUCCAAGCGCAAGAGCUCAAAUGAACACUACAAAUCACUCUCUCUAGUCACUAAGGCUUUGUGUGGAGUUGGGAGAGGAUUUGAUCUCUUUUGGUGUGCCUUGCAAUGAAUGCUAGCUCUUGUAUAGUGGUUGGAAGCUGGAAAACUUGGAUGCAAUGAAUGGUGGGGUGGUUGGGGUAUUUAUAGCCCCAACCACCAAACAUGACCGUUGGUGGAGGCUGUCUGUCGUAUGGUGCACCGGACAGUCCGGUGCACACCGGACAUGUCCGGUGCGCCAGCCACGUCACCAAUGCCGUUGGAAUUUGACCGUUGGAGUUCUGACUUCUGGGCCCGCCUGGAUGUCCGGUGCACACCAGACAUGUACUGUUCAAUGUCCGGUGCGCCAGAAUGGGCGUGCCUGACUUCUGCGCGCUUCUGGCGCGCAUUGAAUGCGCCUGCAGGUAGCCGUUGCUCCGGAGUUGCACCGGACAGUCCGGUGUACACCAGACAUGUCCGGUGAAUUAUAGCGGAACAACCGUUCUGAAUUCCCGAGUCUGCCGAGUUCCAGAGCCGCGUUCCUUUGGAGCACCGGACACUGUCCGGUGUACACCGGACAGUCCGGUGAAUUAUAGCGCGCCGGCUUCUGGAAAUUCCCGAGGCUGAGGAGUUCUGCGCGAGGUCCCCUGGUGCACCAGACACUGUCCGGUGCGCCACCGGACAGUCCGGUGCGCCAGACCAGGGAGCCUUUCGGGAUGCCUUUGGCUCUUUAAUUUGAACCCAACUUUGGUCUUUUUAAUUGGCUUGUUGUGAACCUUUGACACCUGUAUAACUUAUACACUAGAGCAAACUAGUUAGUCCAAUUAUUUGUGUUGGGCAAUUCAACCACCAAAAUUAAUUAGGGACUAGGUGUAAGCCUAAUUCCCUUUCAAUCUCCCCCUUUUUGGUGAUUGAUGCCAACACAAACCAAAGCAAAUAUAGAAGUGCAUAAUUGAACUAGUUUGCAUAAUGUAAGUGCAAAGGUUGCUUGGAAUUGAGCCAAUGUAAAUACUUACAAGAUAUGCAUGGAUCGUUUCUUUGUUUUUAACAUUUUGGACCACACUUGCACCACAUGUUUUGUUUUUGCAAAAUCUUUUGUAAAUCCUUUUCAAAGUUCUUUUGCAAAUAGUCAAAGGUAAUGAAUAAGAUUUUGCAAAGCAUUUUCAAGAUUUGAAAUAUUCUCCCCCUGUUUCAAAUGCUUUUCCUUGACUAAACAAAACUCCCCCUUAAUUGGGAUCCGCCUCUUAGUGUUCAAGAGGGUUUUGAUAUAUCCUUUUUGAAAUACUACUUUCUCCCCCUUUUGAACACAAUAAGAUGCCAAUUGAAAAUACUCUUUGAAAAACUAAGUUUUUGAAAUUGGUGGUGGUGCGGUCCUUUUGCUUUGGGCUCAUACUUUCUCCCCCUUUAGCAUGAAUCACCAAAAACAGAAUCAUUAGAGCCCUUUGAAGUACUUUCUUCCCCUUUGGUCAUAAAUAAAUGAGUUAAGAUUAUACCAAAGAUGAAGUCCUUUUGUUUGUUGCUCAUGCUUUCUCCCUCUAGAAUAGAGAGUUGCUCGGAGUGAUGGCGAAGGGUGAGUUACGGAGUGGAAGCCUUUGUCUUCGCCGAAGACUCCAAUUCCCUUUUAAUACGCCUAUGACUUGGUUUGAAAUAGACUUGAAAACACAUUAGCCAUAGCAUAUGAAAGAGAGAUGAUCAAAGGUAUAAAUGAGCUAUGUGUGCAAUUUUAACAAAAGAAGUUCCUAGAAUCAAGAAUAUUUAGCUCAUGCCUGAGUUUGUUAAAAGUUUGUUCAUCAAGAGGCUUGGUAAAGAUAUCGGCUAAUUGAUCUUUAGUGUUAAUAUAUGAAAUCUCGAUAUCUCCCUUUUGUUGGUGAUCCCUAAGAAAAUGAUACCGAAUGGCUAUGUGUUUAGUGCGGCUAUGUUCGACGGGAUUAUCCGCCAUCUUGAUUGCACUCUCAUUAUCACAUAGCAAAGGGACUUUGGUUAAUUUGUAAUCGUAGUCCCGCAGGGUUUGCUUCAUCCAAAUCAAUUGCGUGCAACAAUGGCCUGCGACAAUGUACUCGGCUUCGGCGGUGGAAAGAGCGACCGAAUUUUGCUUCUUUGAAGCCCAAGACACCAAGGAUCUUCCCAAGAACUGGCAAGUCCCCGAUGUGCUCUUCCUAUUGAUUUUGCACCCCGCCCAAUCGGCAUCCGAAUAACCAAUCAAAUCAAAUGUGGAUCCCCUAGGAUACCAAAGCCCAAACUUAGGAGUAUAAGCCAAAUAUCUCAAGAUUCGUUUUACGGCCGUAAGGUGAGCUUCCUUAGGGUCGGCUUGGAAUCUUGCACACAUGCAUACGGAAAGCAUAAUAUCCGGUCGAGAUGCACAUAAAUAGAGUAAAGAACCUAUCAUCGACCGGUAUACCUUUUGAUCCACGGACUUACCUCCCGUGUCGAGGUCGAGAUGCCCAUUAGUUCCCAUGGGAGUCUUGAUGGGCUUGGCAUCCUUCAUCCCAAACUUGUUUAGAAUGUCUUGAGUAUACUUCGUUUGGCUAAUGAAGGUGCCUUCUUGGAGUUGCUUCACUUGAAAUCCCAAGAAGUACUUCAACUCCCCCAUCAUAGACAUCUCGAACUUUUGUGUCAUGAUCCUACUAAACUCUUCGCAUGUAGAUUCGUUAGUAGACCCAAAUAUAAUAUCAUCAACAUAAAUUUGGCAUACAAACAAAUCAUUCUCAAGUGUUUUGGUAAAGAGCGUAGGAUCGGCCUUUCCGACUUUGAAGCCAUUAGCUAUAAGGAAAUCUCUAAGGCAUUCAUACCAUGCUCUUGGGGCUUGCUUGAGCCCAUAAAGCGCCUUAGAGAGUUUAUAAACAUGGUUAGGGUACUCACUAUCUUCAAAGCCGGGAGGUUGUUUAACAUAGACCUCUUCCUUGAUUGGUCCAUUGAGGAAGGCACUUUUCACGUCCAUUUGAUAAAGCUUAAAGCCAUGGUAAGUAGCAUAGGCCAAUAAUAUUCGAAUUGACUCAAGCCUAGCUACGGGUGCAUAGGUUUCACCGAAAUCCAAACCUUCGACUUGGGAGUAUCCUUUGGCCACAAGUCGAGCUUUGUUCCUUGUCACCACACCAUGCUCAUCUUGCUUGUUGCGGAAGACCCAUUUGGUUCCUACAACAUUUUGAUUAGGACGUGGAACUAAAUGCCAUACCUCAUUCCUAGUGAAGUUGUUGAGCUCCUCUUGCAUUGCCACCACCCAAUCCGAAUCUUGUAGUGCUUCCUCUACCCUGUGUGGCUCAAUAGAGGAAACAAAAGAGUAAUGCUCACAAAAAUGUGCAAUUCGAGAUCUAGUGGUUACCCCCUUAUGAAUGUCGCAGAGGAUGGUGUCGACGGGGUGAUCUCGUUGAAUUGCUUGGUGGACUCUUGGGUGUGGCGGUCUUUGUUCUUCAUCCUCCUUGUCUUGAUCAUUUGCAUCUCCCCCUUGAUCAUUGUCGUCAUCUUGAGGUGGCUCAUUUGCUUGAUCUUCUGUUUCGUCAACUUGAGCUUCUUCCUCAUUUUGAGUCGGUGGAGAUGCUUGCGUGGAGGAGGAUGGUUGAUCUUGUGCACUUGGAGGCUCUUCGGAUUCCUUAGGACACACAUCCCCAAUGGACAUGUUCCUUAGCGCGAUGCAUGGAGCCUCUUCAUUACCUAUCUCAUCAAGAUCAACUUGCUCUACUUGAGAGCCAUUAGUCUCAUCAAACACAACGUCACAAGAAACUUCAACUUGUCCAGUGGACUUGUUAAAGACUCUAUAUGCCCUUGUGUUUGAAUCAUAUCCUAGUAAAAAGCCUUCUACUGUCUUAGGAGCAAAUUUAGAUUUUCUACCUCUUUUAACAAGAAUAAAGCAUUUGCUACCAAAGACUCUAAAAUAUGAAAUGUUGGGGUUUUUACCGGUUAGGAGUUCGUAUGAUGUCUUCUUGAGGAUUCGGUGUAGAUACAACCGGUUGAUGGCGUAGCAAGCGGUGUUGACCGCCUCGGCCCAAAACCGAUCCGAAGUCUUGUACUCAUCAAGCAUGGUCCUUGCCAUGUCCAAUAGAGUUCGAUUCUUCCUCUCCACUACACCAUUUUGUUGUGGUGUGUAGGGAGAAGAGAACUCAUGCUUGAUGCCCUCCUCCUCAAGGAAGCCUUCGAUUUGAGAGUUCUUGAACUCCGUUCCGUUGUCGCUUCUAAUUUUCUUGAUCCUUAAGCCGAACUCGUUUUGAGCUCGUCUCAAGAUUCCCUUUAAGGUCUCUUGGGUUUGAGAUUUUUCCUGUAAAAAGAAUACCCAAGUGAAGCGAGAAUAAUCAUCCACUAUUACAAGACAAUACUUACUCCCGCCGAUGCUUAUGUAAGCAAUCGGGCCGAAUAGAUCCAUGUGGAGUAGCUCAAGCGGCCUGUUGGUCGUCAUGAUGUUCUUGUUUAGAUGAUGGGCACCAACUUGCUUUCCUGCUUGGCAUGCGCUACAAACCCUGUCUUUCUCAAAAUGAACAUUUGUUAGUCCUAAAAUGUGUUCUCCCUUUAGAAGCUUACGAAGAUUCUUCAUCCCAACAUGGGCUAGUCGGCGGUGCCAGAGCCAACCCAUGUUAGUCUUAGCAAUUAAGCAUGUGUCGAGUUCAGCUCUAUCAAAAUCUACUAAGUAUAGCUGACCCUCUAACACACCCUUAAAUGCUAUUGAAUCAUCACUUCUUCUAAAGACAGUGACACCUACAUCAGUAAAGAGACAGUUGUAGCCCAUUUUGCAUAAUUGAGAUACAGAAAGCAAAUUGUAAUCUAAAGAAUCUACAAGAAAAACAUUGGAAAUAGAAUGGUCAGGGGAUAUAGCAAUUUUACCCAAUCCUUUGACCAAACCUUGGUUUCCAUCCCCGAAUGUGAUCGCUCGUUGGGGAUCUUGGUUUUUCUCGUAGGAGGAGAACAUCUUCUUCUCCCCUGUCAUGUGGUUUGUGCACCCGCUGUCGAUGAUCCAACUUGAGCCCCCGGAUGCAUAAACCUACAAAACAAGUUUAGUUCUUGACUUUAGGUACCCAAAUGGUUUUGGGUCCUUUGGCAUUAGAUACAAGAACUUUGGGUACCCAAACACAAGUCUUUGACCCCUUGUGCUUGCCCCCAACAUAUUUGGCAACUACUUUGCCGGAUUUGUUAGUCAACACAUAAGAUGCAUCAAAAGUUUUAAAUGAAAGACUAUGUUCAUUUGAUGCACUAGGAGUUUUCUUCAUAGGCAACUUAGCAUGGGUUGGUUGCCUAGAACUAGAUGUCUCACCCUUAUAUAUAAAAGCAUGAUUUGGGCUAGAGUGAGACUUCCUAGAGUGAAUUCUCCUAAUCUUGCUCUCAGGAUAACCGGCAGGGUACAAAAUGUAACCCUCGUUAUCUUGAGGCAUGGGAGCCUUGCCCUUUACAAAAUUAGACAAUUUUUUAGGAGGGGCAUUAAGUUUGACAUUGUCUCCCCUUUGGAAGCCAAUGCCAUCCUUGAUGCCAGGGCGUCUCCCACUAUAGAGCAUACUUCUAGCAAAUUUAAAUUUCUCAUUUUCUAAGUUAUGCUCUGCAAUUUUAGCAUCUAAUUUUGCUAUAUGAUCAUUUUGUUGUUUAAUUAAAGACAUGUGAUCAUGAAUAGCAUUAAUAUCAACAUCUCUACAUCUAGUACAAAUAGAUACAUGCUCAACAAAAGAUGUAGAGGGUUUGCAAGAUUUUAAUUCUACAACCUUAGCUUGUAACAUGUCGUUCUUAGUUCUAAGGUCGGAAAUAGUAGCAUUGCAAACAUCAAAAUCUUUAGCCUUAGCAAGCAAUUUUUCAUUUUCAAUCUUAAGGCUAGCAAGAGAAAUGUUCAAUUCUUCAAUUCUAGCAAGUAAAUCAUCAUCAUUAUUUCUAGAAUUGGUAAUUGAAACAUUACAAACAUGAGAAUCAACCUUAGCUAACAAAUUAGCAUUUUCAUUUCUAAGGUUGUCUAUUGUCUCAUGGCAAGUGCUUAGCUCACUAGAUAAUUUUUCACAUUUCUCAAUUUCUAGAGCAUAAGCAUUUUUAACCUUAACAUGUUUCUUAUUUUCCUUAAUUAGAAAGUCCUCUUGGGAAUCCAAAAGGUCAUCCUUUUCAUGAAUAGCACUAAUUAAUUCAUUUAAUUUUUCUUUUUGUUCCAUGUUAAGGUUGGCAAAAAGGGUACGCAAAUUAUCUUCCUCAUCACUAGCAUUAUCAUCACUAGAGGACUCAUAUCUAGUGGAGGAUUUAGAUUUAACCUUCUUCUUUUUGCCGUCUUUUGCCAUGAGGCACUUGUGGCCGACGUUGGGGAAGAGAAGUCCCUUGGUGACGGCGAUGUUGGCGGCGUCCUCGUCGGAGGAGGAGUCGCUAGAGCUUUCGUCGGAGUCCCACUCCCGACAAACAUGGGCAUCGCCGCCCUUCUUCUUGUAGUACCUCUUCUUCUCCUUUCUUCUCCCCUUUUUGUCGUCGCCCCUGUCACUAUCACUUGAUAAUGGGCAUUUAGCUAUAAAGUGACCGGGCUUACCACACUUGUAGCAAACCUUCUUGGAGCGGGACUUGUAGUCUUUCCCUCUCCUUUGCUUGAGGAUUUGGCGGAAGCUCUUGAUGACGAGCGCCAUUUCCUCAUUGUCGAGCUUGGAGGCGUCGAUUGGUUGUCUACUUGGUGUAGACUCCUCCUUCUUUUCCUCCGUCGCCUUGAAUGCGACGGGUUGAGCUUCGGAUGUGGAGGGAUCAUCAAGCUCGUUGAUCUUCCUCGAGCCUUCGAUCAUGCACUCAAAACUUACAAAAUUCCCGAUUACUUCCUCGGGGGUCAUUAGUGUAUAUCUUGGGUUGCCACGGAUUAAUUGAACUUGAGUAGGGUUAAGGAAAAUAAGAGAUCUUAGAAUAACCUUAACCACCUCGUGGUCAUCCCACUUUUUGCUCCCGAGGUUGCGCACUUGAUUCACCAAGGUCUUGAGCCGGUUGUACAUGUUUUGUGGCUCCUCCCCUUUGCGAAGCCGGAACCGACCGAGCUCCCCCUCGAUCGUCUCCCGCUUGGUGAUCUUUGUGAGCUCAUCUCCUUCGUGUGCGGUUUUGAGCACAUCCCAAACCUCCUUGGCGCUCUUCAACCCUUGCACUUUGUUAUACUCCUCUCUACUUAGAGAAGCGAGGAGUAUUGUUGUUGCUUGAGAGUUGAAGUGCUCGAUUUGGGCAACCUCGUCCUCAUCAUAAUCUUCAUCCCCUACGGAUGGUACCUGUGCACCAAACUCAACAACAUCCCAUAUACUUUUGUGGAGUGAGGUUAGAUGAAAUCGCAUUAAAUCACUCCACCUAGCGUAAUCUUCACCAUCAAGAGUUGGUGGUUUGCCUAAUGGGACGGAAAGUAAAGGUGUAUGUUUAGAUAUGCGAGGGUAGCGUAGGGGAAUCUUACUAUACUUCUUACGCUCUUGGCGCUUAGAAGUGACGGACGCCGCGUCGGAGCCGGAGAUGGAUGCCGAUGAAGAAUCGGUCUCGUAGUAGACCACUUUCCUCAUCUUCUUUUUCUUGUCUCCACUCCAAUGCGGCUUGUGAGAAGAGGAUUUCUCCUUCUUCUCUUUGUGUGAAGAAGAUUUCUUCUCCUUCCCUUUGGACGAGUCCUUCUUUUUCUCCUUCCCUUUGGAGGAGUCUUUCUUCUUCUCCCUCUUGGUGCGGGACUCUUCCGAUGAAGUGCUCCCGUGGCUUGUAGUGGGCUUUUCGCCGGUCUCCAUCUCCUUCUUGGCGUGAUCUCCCGACAUUACUUCGAGCGGUUUGGCUCUAAUGAAGCACCGGGCUUUGAUACCAAUUGAUAGUCGCCUAGAGGGGGGUGAAUAGGGCGAAACUGAAAUUUACAAAUAUAAACACAACUACAAGCCGGGUUAGCGUUAGAAAUAAAAACGAGUUCGCGAGAGAGGGUGGAAAACAAAUCGCAAGCAAAUGAAGAGUGUGACACGCGGAUUUGUUUUACCGAGGUUCGGUUCUUGCAAACCUACUCCCCGUUGAGGAGGCCACAAAGGUGAGAGCACCUAGAGGGGGGGGGGGGUGAAUAGGUGAUCCUGUAAAACUUCAAAACUUAAGCCACAAAAACUUGUUAAGUGUUAGCACAAUUAUGGCCAAGUGGCUAGAGAGGAGUCAAAACACAAUAACCACAAGAAAUCAAUCACAGAGAUGACACGGUGGUUAUCCCGUGGUUCGGCCAAGUACAAAACUUGCCUACUCCACGUUGUGGCGUCCCAACGGACGAGAGUUGCACUCAACUCCUCUCAAGUGAUCCAAUGAUCAACUUGAAUACCACGGUGUUCUUCUUUUCUUUUCUCAAUCCCGUUUGCGAGGAAUCUCCACACUUUGGAGCCUCUCGCCCUUACAAAAGAUGUUCACAGAGAAUCACAGAGCAAGGGAGGGAUUAGCAACUCACACACGACACAAAGAUCACAGCGAAUACGCACACACAAGACCCAGACUUGAGCUCAAGAGACUAGCACACUAGAACGGAGCUCAAAUCACUAGAAUGUCGAACAAGUGCGCAAAAUUGAUGUGUGAGUGAUCAAGAGUGCUCAAGGAAUGCUUGGUUCUCUCCUCCAUGCGCCUAGGGGUCCCUUUUAUAGCCCCAAGGCAGCUAGGAGCCGUUGAGAACAAAUCUGGAAGGCCAUCCUUGCCUUCUGUAGUCGGGCGCACCGGACAGUCCGGUGCACACCGGAUACUGUCCGGUGCCCGAUUUCUUUCCUUAACAGUCGCAGCCGACCGUUGCCAACCGUUGCAGAUCUGGCGCACCGGACAGUCCGGUGCCUCCUUCCGACCGUUGGCCAGACCACGUGUCGCGCGCAGAUUCCGCGGCCGACCGUUGGCUCGGCCGACCGUUGGCUCACCGGACAGUCCGGUGCACACCGGACAGUCCGGUGAAUUAUAGCCGUACGCCGUCGGCAAAAUUCCCGAGAGCGGCCUCUUCGCCCGAGGCAGCCUGGCGCACCGGACACUGUCCGGUGCACCACCGGACAGUCCGGUGCCCCAGACCGAAACAGCCUGUUGGCUGUACACAGCCAACAUUCUCCUUUUCUUCUUCUCUCUGUUUCUAACACUUAGACAAAUAUAUUAGUACACAAACCAAUGUACUAAGGCUUAGAAACAUACCUUUACUUGUGAUUUGCACUUUGUUCAUCCAUGGGCAUAGAUUCACAUUAAAGCACUUGUGUUGACACUUAAUCACCAAAAUACUUAGAAAUGGCCCAAGGGCACAUUUCCCUUUCAAUCUCCCCCUUUUUGGUGAUUUAUGCCAACACAACAUAAAGCAACUAGAACAAGUGCGAAAUCACUUCAAAUAGAAUAAAUUUGAGUUCUAUUCAAUUUUGGCAUAUAUGGAUCAUCCUUUGCCACCACUUGGUUUGUUUUUGCAAAUCAAACUCAAAUCUCUAUCUCUAAGUCAAACACACAUGUUGAAGCACAAAGAGAGUCAUUCCAAAAGAGAUUGAUCAAAGAUUUCAAAAACUCCCCCUUUUUCCCAUAAUUACUACUUCUCCCCACAAGAAGCCAACUUUUGACGAAAGAGAUAAUGAAAGAGUUUUGACAAAUCAAAAGCUCUACUCUACUAUUUUCAAAUCUCUCAAGUGGUAGCUGAUCCAUUUAUUGCUUUGGCCUUUAUUUUCUCCCCCUUUGGCAUCAAGCACCAAAACGGGAUCAAUCUUGGCCCUUUAACCCCAUUGCCUCACCAAAAUCUUCAAUUAAGAUCAAUUGGCAAUAAGAGUUCAUGAGAUGGACUUGGAAUAAGUUACCCUCUCAUCGGAGUGCAGUGGAAGUCUUUCAUGGUCCAAGUCCACCUUUUCCCUUUCAAUUUUCCUUCGAGACUAAAUCAAGCAAUCUCAAGCAUAUGGUUAGUCUCAAAGGGUCAAGUUGUAACACAUCUCCCCCUAAACAUGUGCAUCACUUUGCAACGGACUUGUGAGGUCCAGGGAGUGUUUGUACAACUUGAGCACCAUAAUAAGCAACAAAAUGCAGAAUGAACAUGAUCAAAGGCAUAAACACAUGUAUGCUACAAUUCAAUCCAAGUUCCGCGAAUCUAAUACAUUUAGCUCACUACGCAGCCUGCAAAAGGUCUUCUCAUCUAGAGGCUUGGUAAAGAUAUCGGCUAGCUGGUUCUCGGUGCUAACAUGAAACACUUCGAUAUCCCCCUUUUGCUGGUGGUCUCUCAAAAAGUGAUGCCGGAUGUCUAUGUGCUUUGUGCGGCUGUGCUCAACAGGAUUUUCCGCCAUGCGGAUAGCACUCUCAUUGUCACAUAGGAGUGGGACUUUGCUCAGAUUGUAGCCAAAGUCCCGGAGGGUUUGACUCAUCCAAAGUAGUUGCGCGCAACACUGUCCUGCGGCAACGUACUCGGCCUCAGCGGUGGAUAGGGCAACGGAAGUUUGUUUCUUAGAGUUCCACGACACCAGGGACCUUCCUAAGAAUUGGCACGUCCCCGAUGUGCUCUUCCUAUCGACCUUACAUCCAGCAUAGUCGGAGUCUGAGUAUCCAACCAAGUCAAAGGUAGACCCCUUUGGAUACCAGAGCCCGAAGCAAGGCGUAGCAACUAAAUAUCUCAGAAUUCGCUUCACCGCCACUAAGUGACACUCCUUAGGAUCGGAUUGAAAUCUAGCACACAUGCAUACGCUAAGCAUAAUAUCCGGUCUACUAGCACAUAAAUAAAGUAAUGACCCUAUCAUUGACCGGUAUGCUUUUUGAUCAACGGACUUACCUCCUUUGGUGAGGUCGGUGUGCCCGUCGGUUCCCAUCGGAGUUUUUGCGGGCUUGGCGUCCUUCAUCCCAAACCGCUUUAGCAGAUCUUGCGUGUACUUCGUUUGGGAGAUGAAGGUGCCGUCCUUGAGUUGCUUCACUUGGAACCCAAGGAAGUAGUUCAACUCUCCCAUCAUCGACAUCUCGAAUUUAUGCGUCAUCACCCUGCUAAACUCUUCACAAGACUUUUGGUUAGUAGAACCAAAUAUUAUGUCAUCGACAUAAAUUUGGCACACAAACAAAUCACCAUCACAUGUCUUUGUAAAAAGAGUUGGAUCGGCUUUCCCAACCUUGAAAGCAUUAACAAUUAAAAAGUCUCUAAGGCAUUCAUACCAUGCUCUUGGGGCUUGCUUAAGUCCAUAGAGCGCCUUAGAGAGCUUACACACAUGGUCGGGGUACCGUUCAUCCUCGAAGCCAGGGGGUUGCUCUACGUACACCUCCUCCUUGAUUGGCCCGUUAAGGAAAGCGCUCUUCACAUCCAUUUGGUACAACCUGAAAGAGUGAUGAGCGGCAUAUGCUAGCAAGAUACGAAUUGAUUCUAGCCUAUCCACAGGAGCAAAAGUCUCCUCGAAAUCCAAACCUGCGACUUGGGCAUAUCCUUUUGCCACAAGUCGAGCCUUGUUUCUCGUCACCACUCCGUGCUCGUCUUGUUUGUUGCGGAACACCCACUUGGUUCCCACAACAUUUUGCUUAGGACGAGGCACCAGUGUCCAAACUUCAUUCCUCUUGAAGUUGUUGAGCUCCUCCUGCAUGGCCAACACCCAGUCCGGAUCUAGUAAGGCCUCCUCUACCCUGAAAGGCUCAAUAGAAGAGACAAAGGAGUAAUGCUCACAAAAAUUAACUAAUCGAGACCGAGUAGUUACUCCCUUGCUAAUGUCACCUAGAAUUUGGUCGACGGGAUGAUCCCUUUGAAUCAUCGCUCGAACUUGGGUUGGAGGUGCCGGUUGCGCUUCUUCCUCCAUUACAUUAUCAACUUGUGCUCCCCCUUGAUCACACGCCUCCACUUGAGGUACCUGUUCGUCAUCUUGUGUUGGGGGAUGCACCACGGUUGAGGAAGAAGGUUGAUCUUGCUCCAAGUGUUCCUGUGGUCGCACAUCACCAAUCGCCAUGGUGCGCAUAGCGGCCGUUGGAACAUCUUCUUCAUCUACAUCAUCAAGAUCAACAGCUUGCUCUCUUGGAGAGCCAUUAGUCUCAUCAAAUACAACGUCGCUAGAGACUUCAACCAAACCCGAUGAUUUGUUGAAGACUCUAUACACCUUUGUAUUUGAGUCAUAACCUAAUAAAAACCCUUCUACUGCUUUGGGAGCAAACUUAGAAUUUCUACCCUUCUUCACUAGAAUGUAGCACUUGCUCCCAAAUACACGAAAAUAAGAUACAUUGGGUUUGUUACCGGUUAGUAGCUCAUACGACGUCUUCUUGAGGAGGCGAUGAAGGUAGACCCUGUUGAUGGCGUGGCAAGCCGUGUUCACGGCUUCCGUCCAAAAGCACUCGGGGGUCUUGAACUCUCCUAGCAUCGUCCUCGCCAUGUCGAUGAGCGUCCUGUUCUUCCUCUCUACCACACCAUUUUGUUGUGGUGUGUAGGGAGCGGAGAACUCGUGCUUGAUCCCUUCCUCUUCAAGGAACUCCUCCACUUGAAGGUUCUUGAACUCGGACCCGUUGUCACUCCUUAUCUUCUUCACCUUGAGCUCAAACUCAUUUUGAGCUCUCCUGAGGAAGCGCUUGAGGGUCCCUUGGGUUUCAGACUUAUCCUGCAAAAAGAACACCCAAGUGAAGCGGGAAAAAUCAUCUACAAUAACUAGACCAUACUUACUCCCUCCUAUGCUCAGAUAGGCGACGGGUCCGAAGAGGUCCAUAUGCAGCAGCUCCAGAGGUCUUGAAGUGGUCAUCACAUUCUUGCUGUGAUGCGUUCCUCCCACUUGUUUACCUGCUUGACAAGCUGCACAAGGUCUAUCUUUUUCGAAUUGAACGUUAGUCAAACCUAUCACGUGUUCUCCCUUUAGAAGCUUGUGGAGGUUCUUCAUCCCCACAUGUGCUAAGCGGCGAUGCCACAGCCAGCCCAUGCUAGUCUUAGCUAUUAAGCAUGCAUCUAGACCGGCCUCUUCUUUUGCAAAAUCAACUAAAUAAAGUUUGCCGUCUAAUACACCCUUAAAAGCUAGUGAACCAUCACUUCUUCUAAAGACAGACACAUCUACAUUUGUAAAUAGACAGUUAUACCCCAUGUUGCAUAAUUGACUAACAGAUAGCAAAUUAUAACCAAGAGACUCUACUAAAAACACAUUAGAGAUAGAGUGCUCAUUAGAAAUUGCAAUUUUACCUAACCCUUUUACCUUGCCUUGAUUCCCAUCACCGAAUACAAUUGAAUCUUGGGAAUCCUUAUUUUUGACGUAGGAGGUGAACAUCUUCUUCUCCCCCGUCAUAUGGUUUGUGCAUCCGCUGUCGAUAAUCCAGCUUGAACCCCCGGAUGCAUAAACCUGCAAGGCAAAUUUAGGCUUGGGUUUUAGGUACCCAACUCAUGUUGGGUCCUAUAAGGUUAGCACAAAUAUCUUUAGGGACCCAAAUGCAAGUUUUGUCUCCCUUGCAUCUUGCCCCUAACUUCCUAGCAACAAUUUUCUUAUCCUUUCUACAAAUAGCGAAGGAAGCAUUUAAAGCACAAUAAAUUUUGGAAGGUUCAUUCACUACUUUCUUAGGAGCAUUAUGAAUUACAUUUCUCCUAGGCAUUUGGUGAACAACAUUUCUUCUAAACACAUUUCUACCAUGCAUAACAUGAGAACUAGAAGCAGUCAUAGCAUAAGAGUCAUAAGCAUGUGAAUCAAAAACAUCAUUACCUCUAAAAGCAUUUCUAGAGUAUCUCCUAUCAUAGUACAUGAAAGCAUGAUUCUUCUUAACACUAUUAGCCAUAGGAGCCUUCCCUUUCUCCUUGGUGGAGACAGGAGUCUUAUGGCUUGUUAAGUUCUUGGCUUCCCUCUUGAAGCCAAGCCCAUCCUUAAUUGAGGGGUGUCUACCAAUAGUGUAGGCAUCCCUUGCAAAUUUUAGUUUUUCAAAUUCACUCUUGCUAGUCUUAAGUUGGGCAUUAAGACUAGCUAAUUCAUCAUUCAAUUUUGAAAUGGAAACUAAGUGUUCACUAUAGGCAUUAAUAUCAACAUCCUUGCACCUAGUGCAAAUUUCAACAUGUUCAACACAAGAGUUGGAUUUAUGUGCUUCUACUAGUUUAGCAUUUAAGUCAUCAUUAAUGCUCUUUAAUUUAGAAAUAGAAUCAUGGCAUGUUGACACUUCACAAGCAAGCAUUUCAUUCCUCUUAAUUUCUAAUGCAAGGGAUUUUUGAGCCUCUACAAACUUAUCAUGUUCUUCAUACAACAAAUCCUCUUGCUUUUCUAAAAGUAUAUUCUUUUCAUUCAAGGCAUCAAUUAAUUCAUUAAUUUUGUCUAUCUUAGAUCUAUCUAAGCCCUUGAACAAACAUGAAUAAUCUACUUCAUCCUCAUCACUAGAUUCGUCCUCACUUGAAGAAGCAUAGGUAGAGUUGCGAGUACAUACCUUCUUCUCCCUUGCCAUAAGGCAUGUGUGACGCUCGUUUGGGAAGAGGAUUGAUUUGUUGAAGGCGGUGGCGGCGAGUCCUUCAUUGUCGGAGUCGGAAGAGGAGCAAUCCGAGUCCCACUCCUUGCCUAGAUGCGCCUCCCCCUUUGCCUUCUUGUAAUGCUUCUUCUUUUCCCUCUUGUUUCCCUUUUCCUGGUCACUAUCAUUAUCGGGGCAGUUAGCGAUAAAAUGACCAAUCUUACCGCACUUGAAGCAUGAGCGCUUCCCCUUCGUCUUGGUCUUGCUUGGCUGCCCCUUGUGACCCUUUAGCACCGUCUUGAAGCGUUUGAUGAUGAGAGCCAUCUCUUCAUCAUUAAGUCCGACCGCCUCAAUUUGUGCCACCUUGCUAGGUAGCGCCUCCUUGCUUCUUGUUGCUUUGAGAGCAAAAGGUUGUGGUUCGUUGAUCAGUCCAUUCAAGGCGUCGUCCACGUACCUUGCCUCCUUGAUCAUCAUUCGCCCGCUGACGAAUUUUCCUAAGACUUCUUCGGGCGACAUUUUGGUGUACCUGGGAUUCUCACGAAUAUUAUUCACCAAAUGAGGAUCAAGAACGGUAAAGGACCUUAGCAUUAGUCGGACGACGUCGUGGUCCGUCCAUCGCGUGCUUCCGUAGCUCCUUAUUUUGUUGAUAAGGGUCUUGAGCCGGUUGUAUGUUUGAGUUGGCUCCUCGCCCCUUAUCAUCGCGAACCGUCCAAGCUCGCCCUCCACCAACUCCAUUUUGGUGAGCAAGGUAGCGUCAUUUCCCUCAUGAGAGAUCUUGAGGGUAUCCCAGAUUUGCUUGGCGUUAUCCAAGCCACUCACUUUGUUAUAUUCAUCCCUGCACAAUGAAGCUAGAAGAACAGUAGUAGCUUGUGCAUUCUUAUGGAUUUGCUCAUUAAUGAAUAUAGGACUAUCCGAACUAUUAAAGUGCAUUCCACUAUCUACAAUCUCCCAUAUACUAGGAUGGAGAGAGAAUAGGUGACUACGCAUUUUGUGGCUCCAAAAUCCGUAGUCUUCUCCAUCAAAGUGUGGGGGCUUGCCAAGUGGAAUGGAAAGCAAAUGUGAAUUUGAACUUUGCGGAAUACGAGAGUAGUCAAAAGAAAAGUUAGAAUUAACCGGUUUCCUUUGCUCGUAGUCGUUGUCCUUUUGGGAAGAGGAAGAUUCGUCGCUGUCGUCGUAGUAGACGAUCUCCUUGAUGCGCCUUGUCUUCUUCUUCUUCCCUUCCUUCCGUCUAUGGCCCGAGCCGGAGUCGGUAGGCUUGUCAUCUUUGGGCUCGUUGACAAAGGACUCCUUCUCCUUGUCGUUGAUCACGAUUCCCUUCCCCUUAGGAUCCAUCUCUUCGGGCGGUUAGUCCCUUUCUUGAAGAGAACGCCUCUGAUACCAAUUGAGAGCACCUAGAGGGGGGGGUGAAUAGGUGAUCCUGUAAAACUUCAAAACUUAAGCCACAAAAACUUGUUAAGUGUUAGCACAAUUAUGGCCAAGUGGCUAGAGAGGAGUCAAAACACAAUAACCACAAGAAAUCAAUCACAGAGAUGACACGGUGGUUAUCCCGUGGUUCGGCCAAGUACAAAACUUGCCUACUCCACGUUGUGGCGUCCCAACGGACGAGAGUUGCACUCAACUCCUCUCAAGUGAUCCAAUGAUCAACUUGAAUACCACGGUGUUCUUCUUUUCUUUUCUCAAUCCCGUUUGCGAGGAAUCUCCACACUUUGGAGCCUCUCGCCCUUACAAAAGAUGUUCACAGAGAAUCACAGAGCAAGGGAGGGAUUAGCAACUCACACACGACACAAAGAUCACAGCGAAUACGCACACACAAGACCCAGACUUGAGCUCAAGAGACUAGCACACUAGAACGGAGCUCAAAUCACUAGAAUGUCGAACAAGUGCGCAAGAUUGAUGUGUGAGUGAUCAAGAGUGCUCAAGGAAUGCUUGGUUCUCUCCUCCCUGCGCCUAGGGGUCCCUUUUAUAGCCCCAAGGCAGCUAGGAGCCGUUGAGAACAAAUCUGGAAGGCUAUCCUUGCCUUCUGUAGUCGGGCGCACCGGACAGUCCGGUGCACACCGGAUACUGUCCGGUGCCCGAUUUCUUUCCUUAACAGUCGCAGCCGACCGUUGCCAACCGUUGCAGAUCUGGCGCACCGGACAGUCCGGUGCACACCGGACAGUCCGGUGCCUCCUUCCGACCGUUGCCCAGACCACGUGUCGCGCGCAGAUUCCGUGGCCGACCGUUGGCUCGACCGACCGUUGGCUCACCGGACAGUCCGGUGCACACCGGACAGUCCGGUGAAUUAUAGUCGUACGCCGUCGGCAAAAUUCCCGAGAGCGGCCUCUUCGUCCGAGGCAGCCUGGCGCACCGGACACUGUCCGGUGCACCACCGGACAGUCCGGUGCCCCAGACCGAAACAGCCUGUUGGCUGUACACAACCAACAUUCUCCUUUUCUUCUUCUCUCUAUUUUUAACACUUAGACAAAUAUAUUAGUACACAAACCAAUGUACUAAGGCUUAGAAACAUACCUUUACUUGUGAUUUGCACUUUGUUCAUCCAUGGGCAUAGAUUCACAUUAAAGCACUUGUGUUGACACUUAAUCACCAAAAUACUUAGAAAUGGCCCAAGGGCACAUUUCCCUUUCAAAAGGCCGGGUCUCUUUCAACCCUUCCCUCUCUCAAACGGUCCCUCGGACCGAGUGAGCUUCUCUUCUCAAAUCACUUGGGAAUCAAACUUCCCGCAAGGACCACCACACACUUGGUGUCUCUUGCCUCAAUUACAAGUGAGUGUUUGAUCACAAGAAAGAAUGCCAAAGAAAAGAAGCGAUCCAAGCGCAAGAGCUCAAAUGAACACUACAAAUCACUCUCUCUAGUCACUAAGGCUUUGUGUGGAGUUGGGAGAGGAUUUGAUCUCUUUUGGUGUGCCUUGCAAUGAAUGCUAGCUCUUGUAUAGUGGUUGGAAGCUGGAAAACUUGGAUGCAAUGAAUGGUGGGGUGGUUGGGGUAUUUAUAGCCCCAACCACCAAACAUGACCGUUGGUGGAGGCUGUCUGUCGUAUGGUGCACCGGACAGUCCGGUGCACACCGGACAUGUCCGGUGCGCCAGCCACGUCACCAAUGCCGUUGGAAUUUGACCGUUGGAGUUCUGACUUCUGGGCCCGCCUGGAUGUCCGGUGCACACCAGACAUGUACUGUUCAAUGUCCGGUGCGCCAGAAUGGGCGUGCCUGACUUCUGCGCGCUUCUGGCGCGCAUUGAAUGCGCCUGCAGGUAGCCGUUGGCGCGAAGUAGUCGUUGCUCCGGAGUUGCACCGGACAGUCCGGUGUACACCGGACAUGUCCGGUGAAUUAUAGCGGAACAGCCGUUCUGAAUUCCCGAGGCUGCCGAGUUCCAGAGCCGCGUUCCUUUGGAGCACCGGACACUGUCCGGUGUACACCGGACAGUCCGGUGAAUUAUAGCGCGCCGGCUUCUGGAAAUUCCCGAGGCUGAGGAGUUCUGCGCGAGGUCCCCUGGUGCACCGGACACUGUCCGGUGCGCCACCGGACAGUCCGGUGCGCCAGACCAGGGAGCCUUUCGGGAUGCCUUUGGCUCUUUAAUUUGAACCCAACUUUGGUCUUUUUAAUUGGCUUGUUGUGAACCUUUGACACCUGUAUAACUUAUACACUAGAGCAAACUAGUUAGUCCAAUUGUUUGUGUUGGGCAAUUCAACCACCAAAAUUAAUUAGGGACUAGGUGUAAGCCUAAUUCCCUUUCACAACCAAUCGAUGCCUCAAAGCUCGACAACGAGGAGAUGGCGCUUGUCAUCAAAAGCUUUCGGCAAAUCCUCAAGCAAAGAAGGGGGAAGGAUUACAAGCCCCGCUCCAAGAAGGUUUGCUACAAGUGUGGUAAGCCCGGUCACUUUAUAGCUAAAUGUCCAAUUUCUAGUGACAGUGACAGGGGUGAUGACAAGAAGGGGAGAAGAAAGGAGAAGAAGAGGUACUACAAGAAGAAGGGCGGCGAUGCCCAUGUUUGUCGGGAGUGGGACUCCGACGAAAGCUCUAGCGACUCCUCCUCCGACGAGGACGCUGCCAACAUCGCCGUCACCAAGGGACUUCUCUUCCCCAACGUCGGCCACAAGUGUCUCAUGGCAAAGGACGGCAAAAGGAAGAAGGUUAAAUCUAAAUCCUCCACUAGAUAUGAGUCCUCUAGUGAUGAUAAUGCUAGUGAUGAGGAAGAUAAUUUGCGUACCCUUUUUGCCAACCUUAACAUGGAACAAAAAGAAAAACUAAAUGAGGUAAUUAGUGUCAUCCAUGAGAAGGAUGAUCUCUUGGACUCCCAAGAAGACUUCCUAAUCAAGGAAAAUAAAAAGCAUGUUAAGGUUAAGAAUGCUCAUGCUCUAGAGGUAGAAAAAUGUGAGAAAUUAACUAGUGAGCUAAGCACAUGCCAUGACUCUAUUGCCAACCUUAGAAAUGAAAAUGCUAAUUUGUUAGCUAAGGUUGAUUCUCAUGUUUGUAAUGUUUCAACUUCCAAUCCUAGAGAUAAUGAUGAUGAUUUACUUGCUAGGAUUGAAGAAUUGAAUGUUUCACUUGCUAGCCUUAGAAAUGAAAAUGAAAAAUUGCUUGCUAAGGCUAAAGAUUUUGAUGUUUGCAAUACUACUAUUUCCGACCUUAGAACUAAGAAUGAUAUGUUACAUGCUAAGGUUGUAGAAUUAAAAUCUUGCAAACCCUCUACAUCUACCGUUGAGCACACUACCAUUUGUACUAGAUGUAGAGAUGUUAACAUUGAUGUUAUACAUGAUCACAUGGCUUUAAUUAAACAACAAAAUGAUCAUAUAGCAAAAUAGAUGCUAAAAUUGUCGAGCAUAACUUAGAAAAUGAAAAAUUUAAAUUUGCUAGAAGUAUGCUCUAUAGUGGGAGACGCCCUGGCAUCAAGGAUGGCAUUGGCUUCCAACAGGGAGGCAAUGUCAAACUUAAUGCCCCUCCAAAGAAAUUGUCCAACUUUGUUAAGGGCAAGGCUCCCAUGCCUCAAGAUAACGAGGGUGACAUUUUAUACCCUGCCGGUUAUCCCGAGUACAAAAUUAGGAGAAUUCAUUCUAGGAAGUCUCACUCUGGCCCUAAUCAUGCUUUCAUGUAUAAGGGUGAGACAUCUAGCUCUAGGCAACCAACCCAUGCUAAGUUGCCUAAGAAGAAAACUCCUAGUGCAUCAAAUGAACAUAGCUUUUCAUUUAAAACCUUUGAUGCAUCAUAUGUUUUGACUAACAAAUCCGGCAAGGUCGUUGCCAAGUAUGUUGGGGGCAAACACAAGAGCUCCAAAACUUGUGUUUGGAUUCCCAAAGUUCUUGUUUCUAAUGCCAAAGGACCCAAAACCGUUUGGGUACCUAAAGUCAAGAACUAAACUUGUUUUGUAGGUUUAUGCAUCCGGGGGCUCAAGUUGGAUAAUCAACAGCGGGUGCAUGUCGGUGUUUUGGGUCCGACCGCACACCCGGGGUUGCCCCUCAAGGUGUUUUUAGGAGUAGGACGGUGUCGACGACUGUAGCAAAAUGGUUUGUGCCAAUUGCACGAGGGACAGUGGACAAGAUUUACAGGUUCGGGCCGCUUAGAGAUGCGUAACACCCUACGUCCUGGUGAGUAUGCUGAGUGAAUGAGGUUACAAGAGAGCUCUCUGAAUUGAGAAUGCAGAGAGUUGAAAUGGGUGGCUAAGUAAUAGGGUCGAUCGAUCUGAAGGGGUGCCCCCUAGGCCUUAUAUACUCGACCGUGGGGCAAUACACGUGGAUAUGAUAACAAUGUGUAGCUAAAAGAUAGUGAACUGUUUGAGUUUAUCUCCCUGUAGUUCUGCCGACUUAUCCUCGCAUGGCUCCGUUGCAUGGGGGCUCCAGCGCGGGAAAGUCGGAUCUCUGUUGUGGUCGCUCGCUCGACGUUGUGGGCCGUCCGGGUUUGCACCAAUCCGGCCUCAUGUCGAUCUGCUUUGCUGGUUGUCCCUCCUCAGGCCCACGAAAGAAUGACCUUAUGAUUUAUUGGGCCCUUGGGCCUUUCGUGAGGUCUUUUACUCUUUUAGUGGACCCAGGGGAUAUCUGUCCCCCACAAGCCCCCGAUCUUUGGGUUAAUUUAGAGGUAAUCAGCCCGAAGAUCCCAGGUCCAGCUUGCAGGCGAUUUGAAGAAAACGACUUCUUACUGUUUCCUCCUGCUUUGAUCACUCGUAAACCGAAGCUUUGUUUCGUGCUUGUGCCUUAGAGGUCGGCAUUUCGUUUUGUAGGACCUCGAACUUCAUUGGGUGCACCGGAGGUCCACCCAAUGGGGGUAGCCCCCGAGCUUCGAGUAGAUUUUUAGAAAAUAAUCUACUCGAAGGUCUUCACCAGGAAUUAUUUCCAUUUUUACUCCUACGUUUUGGUUGAGGACCAGCCUUGUCUUUAAUCUUGCCCCAUGCCUUAGAAGUCGGUAUUAUCUUGGCUUGGAAUGAUGAUCCAUGGGGUGCACCGAAGGUGCACCCAAUGGGUGUAGCCCCCGACCUUCGAGUGGAUUUUUGAGGAUAAUCCAUUCGAAGGUCUUCCUUUUGUGUCUUUUUGCUGAAGAUUAUCCUUUCUGCUUGUAAAAAUCGGCAUGAUGCCAUCCGCAUUAUGCUUUGGAGGUCAGCAUUAUGUCAUCAAUAUUGUGCUUCAGAGGUCAGCAUGUAUUUUGUCUUUUGCAGCCGAGUUCGCAAUCCAUCCAUAUCUUGCUAGGUGGUGUAAUUUAUUUGCUCUGCGGUUGAUUGGACAUUUGAUGGACGUUCUCUGUCUAGUCUUCACGUCGCUUUUGUCGGCCAUAUUUUGUACUUCACUGGCUAUAUUUGUCUUUCCUCUGAUCCUUACUGAUAUCUCAUUUUUGUCUUGAGGUAUUCACUGCACGCCCUGUACAGAUGUGACCGUUUUGAAAAAUAUACUGAUAAUUCUUGGGCGUCCCCCCCAAUGGGUGUGGGCAAGGGACGGCUUGGUACGCUGAGUGUUUUAGCCGACCGCUUCUGAGUAGUAAUGUGAUGUGACGGCGGGUGUAAUCAUAUCCUCCGUGCUGUUGACUGGAGUCCCAAUGGGUGUUGUGUUGCGUGAAACGGCGUCAGCCGCCUGACGUGUCUUCAGACGGGUUGAAGUGCUUAUUGAAUGCUUUGCGACUGUUCAGUGACCGCAGUUGGAGGUGAGCGAUUGCCUUCUCCUUCUAUAAAUAAUGUCGUUGUCUCUCCGGCUUUUUCACAUCUCUUGCUGUUCUCUAUUGCUUGUCUUUCUUCUCUCCCUUUCGCUUCAACCAUGGGCAUGAACAACAAGCGCAAGCGUGAGCCGACUCCUCCAUCGGAGGAUUUUGGUGACUCGGAGUACUCAGAGGAGGAGUUCUCCUCUGAGUCUGAGGGGCUCCGGCUCCCAUCCCCCUGCGUGAGUCGUCUGACGACUCAAGCGACUCCAGGGGCUCGCGGCGGAGGUCUGGACGUACAUCCGGGCCGUCGAGCGCUCCGGGCUCGAGGGCUCGUAUGAGUCGGAGUACUCCUCGGAUGAGGAGGACUCGGACGGUGGUGGCGAGGACGAGGACGGCGACGACGACGACGACGACGAAGGCGGUGGCGGCGGUGACGGUGACGGCAGCGGCAGGGGCGGCGGCAGCGGCAGCAGGGGCGGCAGCGGCGGUGGCGGCAGCGGCAGAGGCAGCAACAGGGGCGGCAGCGGCGGCGGCAGCAACAGGGCCAGUGGCUAGAUGCCAAUGGUCUUUUAGGUGUUAGUAUAGUAUAGUUAGAAUAAUGUAGUAGUAUUUAGUAGUGUAGUAGUAGUAGCAGUAAUGUAAUAUAAUGUAGUAGUAGUAAUAGGGAAGUAUCAACUCAUAAUGAGUUGAUUUGUAAGUAUGGUAUCUUCCCUUUAAUGAUGAAAUGAAGUUAGUUUGUCUGUGAUGAUUGCUCUUCGAUAUUCAUAACUCAAAAGUUCUUGAAUCAUUUAUCUUCCCGCCUUUUUCGUGAAGUUGAUUCCUUUGAAACAGUAAAUGAAUAACUCGGGCAUCAUACUGAUGCUUUUAUAAGUAGCUGCCGAGCGAAUUGUAGAUGAUGUCAGAGUUUUACAGAUAAUUGCCGAGUAACUUGAAGACGACGUCGGCGCCUUAGAGGUAACUGUCGAGCGACUGAACACGAUGUCGGAAUUUUAGAGAUAACUGCCGAGUGACCUGAGGGCAACGUCAGCGUUUUAGAGGUAACGCCGAGCGACUUGAAGACGAUGUCAGCGUUUUAGAGGUGACACCGAGUGACUGGAGGGCAAAGUCAGCGUUUUAGAGGUAACGCCGAGCGGCUGGAGGGCGACGUCAGCGUUUUAGAGGUAACACCGAGUGACUGGAGGGCAACGUCAGCGUUUUAGAGGUAACGCCGAGCGACUUGAAGACGAUGUCAGCAUUUUAGAGGUAACGCCGAGUGACUGGGGGGCGACGUCAGUGUUUUAGAGGUAACGCCGAGCGACUGGAGGGCGACAUCAGCGUUUUAGAGGUAACGCCGAGCGACUUGAAGACGACGCCAGCGUUUUAGAGGUAACGCCGAGCGACUUGAGGACGACGUUAGCGUUUUAGAAGUAACGCCGAGUGAUAGCGGGCUGCGUGGGCCACUUUGAGGAUAAUAGCCGAGUGAUGAUGUGGCGCACCGGUGUUCUGGAAAUAACUACCGGGUGAUCACGUGGCACGCCGGUGUUUUGGAAAUAACCGCCGGGUGCUGACUGGGCGCUUUUUGAAACGGUAUCUGGCUCGGGAAUAUCCCAUAAGUGCUGCGCUUUUAGCCGCCUCUGCUUUCCGUGCCCUAGUUCUUGCUUUCUUGCUCCCGAAUCCUGUCUGCAAUUCGCCUCCCACUCUGCUCGCCGGUAGAAUCGAGAUGGCGCCCAUGAGGAAAGCCUCGAGUUCGUCCGCCGUGGUGAUUCCUCCAAUCGACCCCAACAGCCAGUUGCCUUUCGCAGGUAACCACAUGUCUGUCAUCUCUGAGCCCGAACUUCUCCACCUCGUGUCCAUCGGGGUUCUUCCUCUGAGGGAACUCUGUUCUUGGCGGAUUUGCCAUGGGGUUACUGUCCCAACCGAGGAUACCCAUGAGUCCGUGAUUUAUGCUCCUUUCCUUCUCCGCGGCCUCGGUCUUCCCAUUUCUCCCUUUUUCCGCGGCCUCCUUGAUUUCUACCAUCUUAACUUGACCCAUCUGAAUCCUAAUUCUAUCCUGCAAAUCUCCAUUUUCGUUCAUUUAUGCGAAGCCUUUCUUGGCGUGCUGCCACAUUUCGGGUUGUGGAAGUACUUGUAUCACUGUCGCCCUGGGAUGGUCGGGGGACAACAUCAGUUGGUUGGUGGUGCUAGCUUGGAGAUGCGCCGCGGGAGGAAGACUGAGUAUCUCGAAAUCCCUCUCAAAGACAGUAUCAAGGGAUGGCGCUUGGAGUGGUUCAUAGUUGAGAAUUAUGGAAACUCUCUCCCCCCUUGGUCAGGAAGACAGCCGGAUGUUCGCACCCCAAGCUGGACCGAGUCCCCCACAGAUCAGGAGGUAGCCGAGGCAGGUGCUUUGCUGGCUGAAGUUGGAUUGCUGAAGGAGAGGGGUCUGACUGCUGAGGCUGUUGCUGCUGAUUUUGUCUUCAAGAAUAUUCAGCCAUUGAAAGACAGGGUGUACCCGGCUUAUCUGUAUCGAGGCCUAGCCGACUCAACUCGGGUUACCAACAGAAGAAUUCCCUCUGCAGACUUGGUGAGCCGACUUGAGAUGAUCCUUAGAGGCAAAGUGUCAAAUGUUGGUGCCCCAGUGGCAUACUCGGCCUGGAACCUGCCUCCUCCCAAAGCCUUCACCCUUUUGUGUCGAAUCCACCUGUCACUGAUGGCAGUUUGGACCUUAGAGUGCGACCCUCUACUGAAGAAGUUAGUGCCUUGGUUGCCUCGCUCGGGGAGAUUCCUGAUGAUGAACGGCAGGUCCAUUUUGAGGUGCCCCUGAACCCUAGUGAUGCAGAGAUAAGCGCUAUGCUUGAUUUGCUGGCUGAGGACUCUUCUGACGCUGCUCUUGCUGGGGCAUUGGUAGUGGCGCCCCUCCCAGAGGCUGAUACAACCUUGGAUACUCAGAAGCCUGCCAGUACUCGCCCGAGGCGCCCUUGCCGAGCCAAUCAACCUGAUCCUUCUGCUGAUGAGCAGAAAAAGAAAAAGAGACGCCUCCGACGAGUAUCUAGUUUGGAUCGGGACGUUGGUGCCUCGGUUCCUGCUGUUGAAGAAGUGCCUGUGACUGAAUUUACUGAUGCUGACCCCAAUGGGUGUACCCAAUCCGCUGCUGAUCCCAAUGUGGGUGCUCCAUCUGUUGCUGAUCCCAAUGGGGGUGCUGUCUGUGUUGCUAAUGUGGACGACGAGGAGGAAGAAGAUGAAGUUCCUUUGACUCGGAAAAACAGUCGGUAGUUCAUCGCUAGCGGUGAAAGUAGUGGAGUUCCUUCUCCUGCUUUGUCUGCUCUCAUUGGUCUGCAAGAACUGUCCCUGGCCAACUUUGAUCAGACUCUUGAGGAUAUGGUUCUAGAGGAUUUGUUAUCGGAGCUGGUGGAUGAUGGUGUGAUGGAGGUUUGUGCUGAUGUGCUUGAUGCUGGGUUGACGUCAUCCCGUGCCUCGUCGACCUUGGAGCACGAUCUCGAGGGUCGGGAGACUGACUUGGAUCGUCCUGGUCCCAUGGAAGUAACUGAGGGCCCAUCAGCCUUAGAAGUGGCUACCGCAGAGAACUUAGACCCCAAGGAUGGUGUUGACACAUGCCCAGCCCCUGAGGAUGUCGCUGGGGAUGACUUGGUUCGGGUGGGAAGUGUAAGCCACUGCCCAGCCCCCGAGGGUGCUGCCGGGGAUGAUCCGGCUCAAGUGGGCAGUGCCAACUAUGACCCAGCCCCCGAGGGUGUCCGAGCGGGGUCUCCUUCCUGUACUUCCAUGGACGUUCAUGCGGGAUCGCCUCCACACUCCGGCUGUAUGGUGGUAGCCCAAGCCUUGGACUAGGGAGUCGCUUUAGAGGGCAGCGUCCCCGCUGACCGAGUGUUGAGCUCUGUUGAUGGCACCGAGCUGAUUCCUGCUGGUUUGUCGCAAGCUGCUUCGGGUGGUGGCCUUACGCCUGGUUAUCAAUUGAUCUCUCCUGAUUUGGGGAUCCCUUCGUUCUUUUCCAACCUCCAGGUACUGUGAUGUAUUUUAGCUUGGUUUUUACAUUUGCAUGAACUGCUGUCAUUACACUCAUCUGUUCUCCUCAUCAGGCUUUGGUGGAUGGGAUGGCUAGCCAGCUGAGGUUACAGGGUGCUUCUGUCCCAGAAGUAGCUUCAUCUCUUGCAUGUUGGAAUCCAGUGUCACUUCAACGUCGUGUCUCUGAAUUGGAGGCGACCAACGCUGGUUAGUGUUUUUUUGCUUCUUUUUGUCUUCACUGUAAACUGCUUUACAUUCUGACCCCUUUUUGUUUGAUUGUCUCCUGCUAGGAAUGACUCGGCAGAUUUCCACUCUUGAGGAAAAACAUUCCCGAGAUCAGGCUGAAUUGGUCCAGCGGUGCACUGACUUUGAGGAAAAGUACUCUCAGAGCCAGACUGAACUGGGUCAGGUCUCCGCUGCCUUAGAUGACGCCAAUGCACUGAGUUCUUCUCUUCACGCUCAGCUCAAUUCUGAAAAGGUGAUUUACGGAACUGUGUUUUGCCUUGUUGUGCUCCUAUUACUUGCUUGGUGUUUGAGGGAGUUGACUUUUGUUUGCAGGAAGAAAAAUGUAUCCUUGCUGCUUCUCGUGACAGUCUCGACAGAUUGUAUCGCGAUUCUAGCAACUCGCUGACCAUCCUGGAGAGGAGUCAUCGCUUCACCAUGGAAGAGUUAGACAACCAACGCUGUAAGCUGCAGGAAUCCACGGAUGAAGUGACCCGGCUCAAACAGUUGAUAUCAGCGAAGGACUCUACUAUCAAAGAACUCCGAGCUUCCAAGAAAUCCAUCGCCUAAGAGUUAGAAACUGCUCGGCUGGCUGCCAAGGUCGUCGAAGAAACUUCUGUUACUCUCAGAGCCCAGCGCGAUAGGGCCAUGGACAAGGCUAUUCGAGCGGGGCGAAUCUUGAUGAGGAGACCCGGCGUGGUUGUUCCCGAAGAUAUAAGGGCUGAUGUGAGUGCUGCCCCUGAUUCUUCGAGUCGUCCUUCCUCAUCGAUUGCUCCUGAGAAAAAUAUCACAAAAUAGAGAAACAUUUUGCGUGCUUUGAGCGCGCGGUUAGCAUGGUCAGACAUUUGUUAGAGGACGUCAUUUCAGUACUUAAACGACAUUGUUAUUCUCGUAUUGUUUCCGAAUUCAUCAGUUCGUAAAUUUGCAGUAGUAAAAUGAUGUGCGAUGGUUUUGAAAUUUGUUUGCGGGAUAUAGAAGUCAUCCUUAUAUGAGUAAUUGUAAUCACGUCAGAUCUCCUUAAGUUGCUGCUGACUUAAGUCGAUUGCUUUUGUUAAUAGGGCGUAGUGGUCACCCUGAAUUGCGUAGGCGUGAGCAUGUUGCACCGCCUUAAGUCGUUGCCGACUUAAGCCGAUUGCUCCGUUAGCAGGGCAUAGUGGUCACCCCGAGUUAAGUAUGCGCGAGCAUGUUGCACCGCCUUAAGUCGUUGCCGACUUAAGCCGAUUGCUCCGUUAGCAGGGCAUAGUGGUCACCCCGAGUUAAGUAAGCAUGAGCAUGUUGCACCGCCUUAAGUCGUUGCCGACUUAAGCCGAUUGCUCCGUUGGCAGGGCAUAGUGGUCACCCCGAGUUAAGUAAGCGUGAGCGUGUUGCACCGCCUUAAGUCAUUGCCGACUUAAGCUGAUUGCUCCGUUAGCAGGGCAUAGUGGUCACCCCGAGUUAAGUAAGCGUGAGCAUGUUGCACCGCCUUAAGUCGUUGCCGACUUAAGCCGAUUGCUCCGUUAGCAGGGCAUAGUGGUCACCCCAAGUUAAGUAAGCGCGAGCAUGUUGCACCGCCUUAAGUCGUUGCCGACUUAAGCCGAUUGCUCCGUUAGCAGGGCAUAGUGGUCACCCCGAGUUAAGUAAGCGUGAGCAUGUUGCACCGCCUUAAGUCGUUGCCGACUUAAGCCGAUUGCUCCGUUGGCAGGGCAUAGUGGUCACCCCGAGUUAAGUAAGAAUGUAAGUCAAUCGUGAACAAACUGAGUAUCUUUGAAACCCCUUUUUUAUUGAUGACAUAUUUCCACUUUACAGAGUACAUCGUCGUCCCGAUAGCUUUUGAAAUACAGCUAGGGAUAAAACUUCCUGAGGUGUUCUAUGUUCCAGGAGUUCCCGACUUCUGUGCCAUCCAUCUGAGUGAGACGAUAUGAUCCUGGCCGAGUGACUUCUGCUACUAUGAAGGGUCCUUCCCAUAAGGGUGAUAACUUGUGCCGUCCCUCCCCCGUUAGAAUUCGGCGGAGGACGAGAUCUCCUACUGAGAAGGAUCGUUGUCGCACAGCCUUGUCGUGAUAGCGUCUUAGAGUCUGCUGGUACCGUGCUGAUUGGAUUACCGCAUUCAGCCGUUCUUCUUCAAGUAUAUCAAUGUCCUCCAGCCUGGUGGCCUCGACUUCUGCUAUGUUUUCGAAGAUCAACCUUGGCACCCCGAACUUGAGAUCGGCGGGUAGCACUGCCUCCGACCCAUAGACCAUGAAGAAAGGAGUGUUUCCAUGCAGAGCUCGGCUAGGUUGGGUUCUUAGGCUCCAAACGACAUAGGGCAAUUCCCUUAUCCACUUUCCUGCGAAUUUUUCAUUCUUAUCGAAGACCUUUUUCCUGAGUGCCUCCAGUAUCAUCCCGUUGGCUCGCUCAACCUGCCCGUUGGCUCUUGGAUGUGCUACAGAUGCAUACUUGAUCUGAAUGCUUUUUUGCUCGCAGAAGUCGAAGAACUCUGAACUUGUGAAGUUGGAUCCUAGGUCAGUUAUGAUGCUGUUUGGUAUCCCGAAUCUGAAUAUUAUGUCUUGUAUGAAUUCCACGGCCUUAGCUGAGGUUAAAGAAGCAAUGGACUUGAACUCUAUCCAUUUAGUGAAUUUGUCGAUUGCUACCAAUACAUGAGUGUAUCCUCCUUGAGCUUUCUUGAAAGGUCCAAUCAUAUCCAGUCCCCAGCAUGCGAAAGGCCAAGUUACUGGUAUGGUCUGCAGUUGCUGUGCUGGCAGAUGUUGUUUUGACAAGUAUUGGCAAGCUUCGCACCUCUGAACUAACUCGGCUGCAUCACUCUUCGCUGUUGGCCAAUAGAAUCCUGACCUGAAGACCUUCCCGACUAGUGUUCUGGACGCUGCAUGUAUUCCGCAUUGCCCAGCAUGGACCUCCUUUAGAAGUCGCUUCCUAGUAGAUGGGAGAAUGCACCUCAUGAGGACGCCUGAUGCACCCCUUCUGUACAAUGUCUCCCCAAUGAGCGUGUAGUGAGCCGACUGUCUGGCAAUGCACUCGGCUGAAUUCUUGUCAUCUGGUUCCUCUUCAUUCUUUAUAUACUUGAUGAUUGGCCUUCUCCAGUCAUCAGAGUCUGACUCGGGUUGAUCUAUAAUAUUACACUCUUCUGUUUGAUCCAUUGAGAUGCUCGGUUGUAGUAUUUCUUGCACAAAGACUCCAGGUGGGACCUGAGUUCGACUGGAUCCUAGCUUGGACAACACAUCGACUACUGUGUUCCGAUCUCUUUCUACAUGAUGAAAUUCCAGGCCCUCAAAUUUAUCUUCCAGCUUUCGGACGGCAGUGCAGUAUUUUCCCAUUGAAUCGCUUGAAUAAUCCCACUCUUUGUUUAUCUGGCUAAUGACUACCAGAGAGUCUCUGUACACCAUCAAUCUCUUGAUGCCCAAUGAUAUGGCGAUGGUCAAUCCAUGGAUUAGAGCUUCAUACUCGGCUGCAUUGUUGGAGGCCGGAAAUAGCAACUGGAGGGCAUAUUUGAGGUGCUCGCCUCCAGGUGCGGUGAAGAGAAUUCCUGCUCCUGCUCCCUGCAAUUUCAGCGAGCCAUCAAAAUACAUUCGCCACACUUCUGCAGUCUCUGGGUUAUCUGGUACUUGCUAAUCAGUCCACUCUGAUACGAAAUCAAUCAGUGCUUGAGUUUUGAUGGCAGUACGAGGUCGGAAUUCGAUGUCAUCAGAUCCCAGCUCACAAGCCCACUUGGCUAUUCGGCCAAUGGCUUCCUUGUUGUGAAGAAUAUCCCCUAUCAGAUAACCAGUGACUACUAUGACUUUGUGGUCAUCAAAGUAGUGACGUAGCUUGCGGGCAGUUAGAAGUACUGCAUAUAAUAGCUUCUGAACUUGAGGAUACUUUUUCUUUGAGGGGCCUAGAACUUCACUAAUGAAGUAAACAAGAUGUUGCACUGGGUAGGCAUGUCCUUCUUCUGCUCGCUCGACUACCAACGCGGUGCUUACCACGUGAGUCGUGCAAGAGAUAUACAGUAGCAGAUCUUCAGCUGGUUGAGUUGACGUAGCUCGUCGGGGUGGCUUCAGUACUGGUGGUGUUGUCAAGAAUUUCUUCAGUGCAUCUAGAGCCUCCUGUGCCUCUGAAGUCCACUGAAACUUAUCCACCUUCUUGAGUAGCUUGUAAAAUGGUAAACCUUUUUCCCCCAGCCUGGAUAUAAAUCUGCUCAGAGCUGCCAUACAUCCAGUAAGUCGCUGAACCUUCUUUUGCUAUCGAGGUGCUUCCAUCUUCAUGAUAGCUUCAAUCUUAUCUGGAUUAGCCUCAAUUCCCCGGUGGUUGACAAUAAACCCGAGUAACUUUCUUGCUGGUACCCCGAAAACACAUUUUUCGGGAUUAAGCUUCCAUCUAUAUCGUCUCAGACUGUUGAAAACCAGCUGUAAGUCUUCGAUGAAGUUUUCCGAAUUCUCUGUUUUGAUUACCACAUCAUCUACGUAGGCCUCCACACGCUUGCCCCAGUGAUCGGCUAAGCACGUUUGAAUGGCUCUCUGAUAAGUCGCUCCAGCGUUUUUGAGGCCGAACGACAUGAAGGUAUAACAGAAAGCACCAAACGAAGUGAUGAACGCUGUUUUUCCUCAUCUUCCUUCGCCAAACUAAUCUGAUGGUAUUCGGAAUAGCAAUCCAAGAAAGACAGCACAGAACAUCCAGUGGUGGAGUCCACCACCUGAUCUAUCCUUGGGAGCCCGAAGGGAUCCUUCGGACAAUGUUUGUUGAGAUCAGUAUAGUCGACGCACAUGCGCCAAUCCACUUUAUUCUUUUUGAGUACAAGAACAGGGUUGGCUAACCACUCGGGGUGUAACACCUCUCUAAUAAAUCCAGCCACGACCAAGCGAGCUAACUCGGCGCGAAUGGUCUCUCUCUUGUCGGGCGUGAAACGACGUAGCUUUUGCCGAAUCGGCCUUGCCUGGGGAUAGACCUUCAGUUUGUGCUCGGCCAGUUCUCUUGGGACUCCCGACAUAUCCACAGGUUGCCAUGCGAAUACAUCUCGGUUAUCUUGCAGAAACUGGACGAGCGCGCUUUCCUAUUUGUCGUCCAGGCUGGAGCUGAUGAUGGCAGUCUUGCGUUCAUCAGCGAACCCCAGGUUGAUCCUCUUAGUUUCUUCAGUCGGCCGCAUAGAGGUCGCGGCCUGAGCUUCGUUUGUCGGUACUGCAAGGUCCUCCUAAGGCUUAGAGUUCGCCUGUGUUGAAGAAACCGUCGACGGCUUGGUGGUGAGGGUUGCUUGGAUGGCCACUCGGAAACACUCUGCGGCGCCUUGGAGGUCGGCGCGCACAGUUAUGAUUCCUUGCGGUCCUGGCAUCUUCAGUAUCAUGUACGUGUAAUGUGGAAUGGCCAUGAAUUUGGCCAAUCCCGGCCUCCCGAUGAUGGCGUUGUACCCGCAGUCGAAGUUCGCCACUUCGAACCUCAGGAACUCGGUUCUGUAGUUCUCCGGAGUUCCGAAGGUUACAGGCAUGUAGAUGUGGCCCAGCGGGUAUUCCCCUUCCGUCGGCACGAUGCCGAAGAAAGGAGUGUCCGACUCAUGGAGCUCUUUGAGGUGAACUCCCAAGCCUUGGAGUGUACGGGGGAAGGUGAUGUUGAUGCUGCUCCACCGUCCACUAGCACCUUCUUCACCCGGCUCUCUCGGAUCACCGGAUCGACGAGGAGCGGGUAUUUGCCUGGAUGGUCGAAGUUGAGCCAUUGAUCCUCCCGAGUGAAAGUGAUCGGGUGCUCCGACCACCGGUAUGGGGCGGGAGGACCGGUGGUCGCCACCAGUAUCUGGCGGUCGUUGAGCUUUUGUUGUCUUUUGUUCUCCUGCGACCCAUGUCCGCCGAAGAUGACGUUGACCUCCCUGUCAACGCGCGGGAAAGCUCCUCCUCCUCCCUCCUCCUGCUGAUGGGGUUGUCGUGGUUCAUCUGGUCCUCCCCUCGGCGGAGGAGGAGGUAGAGGUUGGAAGGGUCGGUCGUGGCCGACGGAGUGCUUGAAGUCCCGGCAGUUACGAAGAGUGUGACGCAUGUCCUUGUGGUACGGGCACUGGGCGUCGAGGAUGUCGUCCAGCGUGCGCUCGCCUCCGCGAGGUCCUCCUCGGGCGCGAGAGGCAGGUGGUCCGGUGGCGUGCACUUCUUCGCGAGGCCUCUUCUCCCAACGUUUGUCGGGUUGCUGGUUCGCGUCGCGUCGUGGUGCUGCCGGUGCGGGCUUUGCUCCUCCGAUGAGGUCCUGGGCCCGCUCGUCGGCGGUGAUGUAGAGGUCGGCUUCCCGGAACAGCUCCUCGGAGGUAGUCGGCGCCUUCUGUAAUAUGGCUCGGACGAAAGCCAAGUCAUUGGAUCCUCUGUAGAAGUCCUCGAUCACGGCCGCCUCCGUGACCUCGGGGAUACGAUUUCUCAUGGUCUGGAACCUUUUGAGGUACGACCGGAGAGUUUCGUCUCCCUGGCGCUUGAUGGAUUUGAGGUCCCACGGUUGCGUCGGUUUGUCGGAGAGGGACUGGAAAUUGGCGGUGAAGCGUCGACUGAAGUCGCCCCAGUUGUCGAUGCAGUGUCGGGGUAGAUGUCGCAGCCAUUGCAGCGCGUCUUGCCCAAGGACAAUGGGUAAGUACGCGGUCAUCACGUCUUCGGACGCCCGGCAGCCCGAGCAGCGGUGGUGUAGACGGCUAGCCAACCCCCUGGAUCCUGCUUAGGUUCAUAUUUGUCGACAUUGGAUACCUUGAAGUUGGGAGGCCAUUGGAUGGCCCUAAGGCGCGAAGUAAGAGCAGACACUCUGCAUGUGUCCUCCUGUCGUCGGGGAUGAUGUCUGUACCGGGGAGGGGAGUAGUUGUUGUGGUUCCUCGACCGUCCCCGGGUGGUACCGCCAGUUGAGGCCGUUGCCGACUCAGUUCUGGUGGCCUGGCUCCGAGCUGGGAUGCCAUGAUCCCUGUCGUACUCCUCCCGGCGGCGGAUCUCGUUCUCAUGCCGUCGUUCACGCGAAGCAUUGAUGGAGCUUCGCGCGUCUCGGCGACUGUUGAUGGCGUGUCGUAGAUCGUUCGGCGGGUGAGCAAGCGGUAGAAGAUGGUUGGCUGCCUGGGUGAACAAUCGUCGGUAGCCCUCGGCGUCGGGAGUCCGAGGGAGCCCAUCAGCUAUCCGAGCUAGUACUCCUCCAACUUCGCUCGGCGUGUUCAUGGCUCGGGCGAAGUCGAGGUUCAGGUUGCGCCCGAAGAAUGGAUUCUCCCGGCGUUGCCUUGCAUCUUGCUCGGCUUGUUCCUGAGCUCGAUGGCGAUCACGUCGUCGAGAGUUCCUUCGUUCUCUGAAGACGCGUUCCUCCGGAGUUUCUCCUAUCUCCGAGACCUCGUCCCGCGAGACAGGUUGCUCCGGACCCCGUUCUCCUGCCGCGUGAUGUCGUCGGACGUUCCGGCGUCGGUUCCUCCGUCGGCGGGAUUCUCGUUGAGGUGGUUCUUCUCCGGGUGCGGUCGGCUCGUCAUCGGAGACGGUGGGCGACUCCGCUCUCCCGAUGAAGAGGACGUCCGGAUAGAAUGGUGCUGCUGUCGUGGCAACCUUCUUUCCAUUCUCCUUUGAGGGCGGAGGAACGGAAAGAACAACUUGCUUCCCCUUGGUUUCCUUCUUCCUCGCGAUCUGUGUCCAUUCUUUUGUCGGGGAAGUAGACAGUGGAGUUCUCUGGGUCAGCGGACCCUCGGCCCCUGACUUUCCGGAGACGAUCUUUUUCCGGAGAGCUGGAGGUUGCGCUUCUCCGACAUUUUCGGAGUUUGUUGGAGGAGACUUCUUUUCCGGCGAAUCCGCAAUGCGGUGUAGAGUUCCCUCUUCAUCUGCUAUGGAUGAGAUUGUUCCGAAGCAGAAUACGGAUCCGGGACGGAGGGUGAUCUUGCUGUGGAAGGUGACGGCCAUUGAGCUAGCUUGGAUCGUCGACACACACCCUACCUGGCGCGCCAGCUGUCGGUGUUUUGGGUCCGACCGCACACCCGGGGUUGCCCCUCAAGGUGUUUUUAGGAGUAGGACGGUGUCGACGACUGUAGCAAAAUGGUUCGUGCCAAUUGCACGAGGGACAGUGGACAAGGUUUACAGGUUCGGGCCGCUUAGAGAUGCGUAACACCCUACGUCCUGGUGAGUAUGCUGAGUGAAUGAGGUUACAAGAGAGCUCUCUGAAUUGAGAAUGCAGAGAGUUGAAAUGGGUGGCUAAGUAAUAGGGUCGAUCGAUCUGAAGGGGUGCCCCCUAGGCCUUAUAUACUCGACCGUGGGGCAAUACACGUGGAUAUGAUAACAAUGUGUAGCUAAAAGAUAGUGAACUGUUUGAGUUUAUCUCCCUGUAGUUCUGCCGACUUAUCCUCGCAUGGCUCCGUUGCAUGGGGGCUCCAGCGCGGGAAAGUCGGAUCUCUGUUGUGGUCGCUCGCUCGACAUUGUGGGCCGUCCAGGUUUGCACCAAUCCGGCCUCAUGUCGAUCUGCUUUGCUGGUUGUCCCUCCUCAGGCCCACGAAAGAAUGACCUUACGAUUUAUUGGGCCCUUGGGCCUUUCGUGAGGUCUUUUACUCUUUUAGUGGACCCAGGGGAUAUUUGUCCCCCACAGUGCACAAACCACAUGACAGGGGAGAAGAAGAUGUUCUCCUCAUAUGAGAAAAAUCAAGAUCCCCAACGAGCUAUCAUAUUUGGGGAUGGAAAUCAAGGUUUGGUCAAAGGUUUGGGUAAAAUUGCUAUAUCCCCUGACCAUUCCAUUUCCAAUGUUUUUCUUGUAGAUUCUCUAGAUUACAAUUUGCUUUCCGUUUCGCAAUUAUGUCAAAUGGGCUACAACUGUCUAUUUACUGAUGUAGGUGUCACUGUCUUUAGAAGAAGUGAUGAUUCAAUAGCAUUUAAGGGAGUGUUAGAGGGUCAGCUAUACUUGGUAGAUUUUGAUAGAGCUGAACUCGACACUUGCUUAAUUGCUAAGACUAACAUAGGUUGGCUCUGGCACCGCCGACUAGCCCAUGUUGGGAUGAAGAAUCUUCAUAAGCUUCUAAAGGGAGAGCACAUUUUAGGAUUAACAAAUGUUCAUUUUGAGAAAGACAGGAUUUGUAGCGCAUGCCAAGCAGGGAAGCAAGUUGGUGUUCAUCAUCCGCAUAAGAACAUCAUGACGACUGAUAGACCACUGGAGCUCCUUCACAUGGACCUAUUCGGCCCGAUUGCUUACAUAAGCAUCGGCGGGAGUAAGUACUGUCUAGUUAUUGUGGAUGAUUAUUCUCGCUUCACUUGGGUAUUCUUUUUACAGGAAAAAUCUCAAACCCAAGAGACCUUAAAGGGAUUCUUGAGGAGGAGGGCAUCAAGCAUGAGUUCUCUUCUCCCUACACUCCACAACAAAAUGGUGUAGUGGAGAGGAAGAAUAGAACUCUAUUGGACAUGGCAAGAACCAUGCUUGAUGAGUACAAGACUUCGGAUCGGUUUUGGGCCGAGGCGGUCAACACCGCCUGCUACGCCAUCAACCGGUUGUAUCUACACCGAAUCCUCAAGAAGACAUCAUACGAACUCCUUACCGGUAAAAAGCCCAAUAUUUCAUAUUUUAGAGUCUUUGGUAGCAAAUGCUUUAUUCUUGUUAAAAGAGGUAGAAAAUCUAAAUUUGCUCCUAAAACUGUAGAAGGCUUUUUACUAGGAUAUGACUCAAACACAAGGGCAUAUAGAGUCUUUAACAAGUCCUCAGGACUUGUUGAAGUUUCUUGUGACGUUGUGUUUGAUGAGACUAACGACUCUCAAGUAGAGCAAGUUGAUCUUGAUGAGAUAGGGGAUGAAGAGGCUCCGUGCAUCGCGCUAAGGAACAUGUCCAUUGGGGAUGUGUGUCCUAAGGAAUCCGAAGAGCCUCCAAAUGCACAAGAUCGACCAUCCUCCUCCACGCAGGCAUCUCCACCAACUCAAAAUGAGGAUGAGGCUCAAGUUGAUGAAGGAGAAGAUCAAACAAAUGAGCCACCUCAAUAUGACAACAAUGAUCAAGGGGGAGAUGCAAAUGAUCAAGACAAGGAGGAUGAAGAGCCAAGGCAGCCACACCCAAGAGUCCACCAAGCAAUCCAACGAGAUCACCCCGUCGACACCAUCCUCGACGAUAUUCAUAAGGGGGUAACCACUAGAUCUCGUGUUGCUCAUUUUUGUGAACAUUACUCUUUUGUUUCCUCUAUUGAGCCACACAGGAUAGAGGAAGCACUUCAAGAUUCGGAUUGGGUGGUGGCAAUGCAAGAUGAGCUCAACAACUUCACUAGGAAUGAGGUAUGGCAUUUAGUUCCACGUCCUAAUCAAAAUGUUGUAGGAACCAAAUGGGUCUUCCGCAACAAGCAAGAUGAGCAUGGUGUGGUGACAAGGAACAAAGCUCGACUUGUGGCCAAGGGAUACUCCCAAGUCGAAGGUUUGGAUUUCGGUGAAACCUAUGCACCCGUAGCUAGGCUUGAGUCAAUUCGUAUAUUAUUAGCCUAUGCUACUUACCAUGGCUUUAAGCUUUAUCAAAUGGACGUGAAAAGUGUCUUCCUCAAUGGACCAAUCAAGGAAGAGGUAUAUGUUGAGGAACCUCCCGGCUUUGAAGAUAGUGAGUACCCUAACCAUGUUUAUAAACUCUCUAAGGCGCUUUAUGGGCUCAAGCAAGCCCCAAGAGCAUGGUAUGAAUGCCUUAGAGAUUUCCUUAUCGCUAAUGGCUUUAAAGUCGGAAAGGCUGAUCCUACUUUAUUCACUAAAACUCUUGAAAAUGACUUGUUUGUAUGCCAAAUUUAUGUUGAUGAUAUUAUAUUUGGGUCUACUAACGAGUCUACUUGUGAAGAGUUUAGUAGGAUCAUGACACAAAAAUUCGAGAUGUCUAUGAUGGGGGAGUUGAAGUACUUCUUAGGAUUUCAAGUGAAGCAUCUCCAAGAGGGCACCUUCAUCAGUCAAACAAAGUAUACUCAAGACAUUCUAAACAAGUUUGGGAUGAAGGACGCCAAACCCAUCAAGACACCCAUGGGAACCAAUGGGCAUCUCGACCUCGACACGGGAGGUAAAUUUGUCGAUCAAAAGGUAUACCGGUCGAUGAUUGGUUCUUUGCUAUAUUUAUGUGCAUCUUGACCGGAUAUUAUGCUUUCCGUAUGCAUGUGUGCAAGAUUCCAAGCCGACCCUAAGGAAGCUCACCUUACGGCCGUAAAACGAAUCUUGAGAUACUUAGUUUAUACUCCUAAGUUUGGGCUUUGGUAUCCUAGGGGAUCCACAUUUGAUUUGAUUGGUUAUUCGGAUGCCGAUUGGGCGGGUUGUAAAAUCAAUAGAAAGAGCACAUCGGGGACUUGCCAGUUCUUGGGAAGAUCCUUGGUGUCUUGGGCUUCAAAGAAGCAAAAUUCGGUCGCUCUUUCUACCGCCGAAGCCGAGUAUAUUGCCGCAGGCCAUUGUUGCGCGCAAUUGCUUUGGAUGAGGCAAACCCUGCGGGACUACGGUUACAAAUUAACCAAAGUCCCUUUGCUAUGUGAUAACGAGAGUGCAAUCAAAAUGGCCGAUAAUCCCAUCGAGCAUAGCCGCACUAAACACAUAGCCAUUCAGUAUCAUUUUAUUAGGGAUCACCAACAAAAGGGAGAUAUCGAGAUUUCAUACAUUAAUACUAAAGAUCAAUUAGCUGAUAUCUUUACCAAGCCUCUUGAUGAACAAACCUUUAACAAACUUAGGCAUGAGCUAAAUAUUCUUGAUUCUAGGAACUUCUUUUGUUGAUUUGCACACAUAACUCUUUUAUAUACCUUUGAUCAUGUCUCUUUCAUAUGCUAUGACUAAUGUGUUUUCAAGUCUAUUUUCAAACCAAGUCAUAGGUGUAUUGAAAGGAAAUUGGUGUCUUCGGCGAAGACAAAGGCUUCCACUCCGUAACUCAUCCCUCGUCGUCGCUCCGCACAACUCUCCAUCUUUGGGGGAGAGAGCAUCUCUCCUACUUUGGUAUAAUCUUCACUCAUAUUUUACUUUACCAAAGGGGAGAAAGUUACUUCAAGGGCUCUAAUGACUCCGUUUUUGGCGAUUCAUGCCAAAGGGGGAGAAAGCAUGAGCCCAAAGCAAAAGGACCGCACCACCACCUAAUUUUAAAACUAAGGAUUUUCAAUUGGUAAAUUUCAAAAAUGAUAUAUCAAAACCCUCUUGAACACUAAGAGGAGGAUUUCAUUUAGGGGGAGUUUUGUUUAGUCAAAAGAAAAGCAUUUGAAACAGGGGGAGAAUUUCAAAUCUUGAAAAAUGCUUCUCGAAAUCUUAUUCAUUUACCUUUGACUAUUUGCAAAAGGACUUUGAAAAGGAUUUACAAAAGAAUUUGCAAAAACAAAACAAGUGGUGCAUGCGUGGUCCAAAAUGUUAAAAAUAAAGAAACAAUCCAUGCAAGAAUUUAUAUUGGCACAAUUCUAAGUAACCUUUGCACUUACAAUUAUGCAAACUAGUUCAAAUAUGCACUUUUAUAUUUGCUUUGGUUUGUGUUGGCAUCAAUCACCAAAAAGGGGGAGAUUGAAAGGGAAUUAGGCUUACACCUAGUUCCUAAUUAAUUUUGGUGGUUGAAUUACCCAACACAAAUUAUUAGACUAACUAGUUUGCUCUAGAUUAUAUGUUCUAUAGGUGACAAAGGUUCAUCUACAACUAUACUAAAUUGACUGUCCAGAAUACCGUAGAUUAUUCCGGACAGGAGAAGCUUUUUGGAAAAACAGACCAAGCGCGGACCGUCCAGGCCCUUGCGGCGGAUCGUCCGCAACACCAGGAUGACCCUCGGACAGAACCAAUGCAAAAAUCCGAGUCUGCACUAUGGACCGUCCGGAGGAAAAGCGCGGACCGUCUGAAACCUCGCGCGGACCGUCUGACCUCAAGCGCGGACCGUCCGGUAGGCAAGGAAUCAAAAAACCCGAAGGUGACGGGUUCGGAAAAAUGAAUUAUAGCGGCCUCGCGGACCGUCCGGGGUGCACGACCGGACCGUCCACGACUGGCUUUUUCUGACAUCUGACGACACAUUAAAUGCAAUAUAGCCGUUGAUAUAGCCGUUACUGCUGACCGUUGCGUUUUCAGCCGUUGAUCUACAGGGGCGGACCGUCCGGACCAGGCGGGCGGACCGUCCGCGCUCAGCAGAAUGGAGUAACGGCUAGGAAGUGGUUGAUGGCUAUAAAUACAACCCCAACCACCUCCAUUCACUUCACCCAAACAUUCCAACCUUCAACAUUCAAUACAAGAGCUAGCAAUCCAUUCCAAGACACAUUCAAAGCCUCCAUCUCUCCAAGUUUCACAAUUGAGAAAAGAGAUCAUUAGUGAUUGGUGACUUGAGAGAGAAAGUGAUCCUUGUGUUAUUUAUCGCUCUUGUCGCUUGGCUUUUGCAAUCGUGCUUUCUUUGAUUCUUCAUUGCGAUCAAACUCACUUGUAAUUAAGGCAAGAGACACCAAUCUUGUGGUGGUCCUUGUGGGAACUUUGUGUUCCAAGUGAUUGAGAAGAAAAGCUCACUCGGUCCGAGGGACCGUUUUGAGAGAGGGAAAGGGUUGAAAGAGACCCGGCCUUUGUGGCCUCCUCAACGGGGAGUAGGUUUGCGAGAACCGAACCUCGGUAAAACAAAUCCGUGUGUCACACUUCUUAUUUGCUUGCGAUCUGUUUUCCACCCUCUCUCACGGACUCGAUUAUAUUUCUAACGCUAACCCGGCUUGUAGUUGUGAUUAACUUUGUAAAUUUCAGUUUCGCCCUAUUCACCCCCCUCUAGGCGACUUUCAGGAAGGAAUCAAGCACGAGUUCUCCGCUCCCUACACACCACAGCAAAACGGGGUGGUAGAGAGGAAGAACAGGACGCUCAUAGACAUGGCAAGGACGAUGCUUGGAGAGUUCAAGACGCCCGAGCGGUUUUGGUCGGAAGCCGUGAACACGGCUUGCCACGCCAUAAACCGGGUCUACCUUCAUCGCCUCCUCAAGAAGACGUCGUAUGAACUCCUAACCGGUAACAAACCCAAUGUUUCAUAUUUUCGUGUAUUUGGAAGUAAAUGUUAUAUUCUAGUGAAGAAAGGUAGGAAUUCCAAAUUUGCUCCCAAAGCUGUAGAAGGGUUUUUGUUAGGUUAUGACUCAAAUACAAAGGCGUAUAGAGUCUUCAACAAAUCUUCGGGUUUGGUUGAAGUCUCUAGCGACGUUGUAUUUGAUGAGACUAAUGGCUCUCCAAGAGAGCAAGUUGAUCUUGAUGAUGUAGAUGAAGAAGAUGUUCCAACGGCCGCAAUACGCACCAUAGCGAUUGGAGAUGUGCGACCACAGGAACAAAAGGGGCAAGAUCAACCUUCUUCCUCAACAAUGGUGCAUCCCCCAACUCAAACUGAUGAACAGGUUCAUCAAGAGGAGGUGUGUGAUCAAGGGGGGCACAAGAUAAUGAUGUUAUGGAGGAAGAAGCACCACAGGCCCCUCCAACUCAAGUCCGAGCAACGAUUCAAAGGAAUCAUCCCGUCGAUCAAAUAUUGGGUGAUAUAAGCAAGGGAGUAACUACUCGCUCUAGAUUAGCUAAUUUUUGUGAGCAUUACUCUUUUGUCUCUUCUAUUGAGCCUUUCAGGGUAGAAGAGGCCUUGCUAGAUCCGGACUGGGUGUUGGCCAUGCAGGAAGAGCUUAAUAACUUCAAGCGAAAUGAAGUUUGGACACUGGUGCCACGUCCUAAGCAAAAUGUUGUGGGAACCAAGUGGGUGUUCUGCAACAAACAGGACGAGCACAGGGUGGUGACAAGGAACAAGGCUAGACUUGUGGCAAAAGGUUAUGCCCAAGUUGCAGGUUUGGACUUUGAGGAGACUUUUUCUCCUGUGGCUAGGCUAGAGUCUAUUCGUAUUUUGUUAGCCUAUGCCGCUCACCAUUCUUUCAGGUUGUUCCAAAUGGAUGUGAAGAGCACUUUCCUCAACGGGCCAAUCAAGGAGGAGGUGUAUGAAGAGCAACCCCUGGCUUUGAAGAUGAACGGUACCCCGACCACGUGUGUAAGCUCUCUAAGGAGCUCUAUGGACUUAAGAAAGCCCCAAGAGCAUGGUAUAAAUGCCUUAGAGACUUUCUAAUUGCUAAUGCUUUCAAGGUUGGGAAAGCCGAUCCAACUUUAUUCACUAAGACUUGUGAUGGUGACUUAUUUGUGUGCCAAAUUUAUGUCGAUAACAUAAUAUUUGGUUCUACUAACCAAAAGUCUUGUGAAGAGUUUAGCAGGGUGAUGACUCAAAAAUUUGAGAUGUCAAUGAUGGGCGAUUUGAACUACUUCCUUGGGUUCCAAGUGAAGCAACUCAAGGACGGCACCUUCAUUUCCCAAACGAAGUACACGCAAGACUUGAUCAAGCGGUUUGGGAUGAAGGACGCCAAGCCCGCAAAGACUCCAAUGGGAACCGACAGACAUGUCGACCUCAACAAAGGAGGUAAGUCCGUUGAUCAAAAGGCAUACCGGUCUAUGAUAGGUUCUUUGCUUUAUUUAUGUGCUAGUAGACCGGAUAUUAUGCUAAGCGUAUGCAUGUGUGCUAGAUUUCAAUCCGACCCAAGGGAGUGUCACCUUGUGGCCGUUAAGCGAAUACUUAGAUAUUUAGUUGCUACGCCUUGCUUCGGGAUCUGGUAUCCAAAGGGAUCAACCUUUGACUUGAUUGGAUACUCAGACUCCGAUUAUGUUGGAUGCAAGGUUGAUAGGAAGAGUACAUCAGGGAUGUGCCAAUUCCUAGGAAGGUCCCUGGUGUCUUGGAGUUCUAAGAAACAAACUUUCGUUGCCCUAUCCACCGCUGAGGCCGAGUAUGUUGCCGCAGGACAGUGUUGCGCGCAACUACUUUGGAUGAGGCAAACCCUCAGGGACUUUGGCUAUAAUCUGAGCAAAGUCCCACUCCUAUGUGACAAUGAGAGUGCAAUCCGCAUGGCGGAUAAUUCUGUUGAACACAGCCGCACUAAGCACAUAGACAUCCAACAUCACUUUUUGAGAGAUCACCAGCAAAAGGGAGAUAUCGAAGUGUUUUAUGUUAGCACCGAGAACCAACUAGCCGAUAUCUUUACAAAGCCUUUAGAUGAGAAGACCUUUUGCAGGCUGCGUAGUGAGCUAAAUGUCUUAGAUUCGUGUAACUUGGAUUGAUCUAUAGCAUACAUGUGUUUUAUGCCUUUGAUCAUGUUCCUUUAUGCAUUUUGUUGCUUAUUUAUGGUGCUCAAGUUGUACCCAUGAUCCCCGGACCUCACAAGUCCAUUUGCAAGUGAUGUACUUAUUGAGGGGGAGGCAUGCUACAACUUGACACUUUAAGACUAACCGUGUGUUUAAGUUGACUUGUUUUAGUCUCAAAAGUGGAUUGAAAGGGAAAGGUGGACUUGGACUGUGAAAGACUUCCACUGCACUCCGAUGAGAGGGUAACUUAUUCCAAGUUCAUCUCCAUGAUCUUAUUGCCUUUUUACUCUUACUUGAAGAUUUUGGUGAGGCAAUGGGGUUUUAAAGGCCAAAAAUGAUCUCGUUUUGGUGCUUGAUGCCAAAGGGGGAGAAAUUAAGGCCUAAAGCAAAUGGAUCAGCUACCACUUGAGAAUUUUGAAAAUAGUAGAGUUAGAGCUUUUGUUUUGUCAAAAUACUCUUAUUGUCUCUUUAUGUCAAAAGUUGGUCUCUUGUGGGGAGAAUGUUUGAUUAUGGGAAAAGGGGGAGUUUUUGAAUACUUGAUCAAUUUCUCUUGGAACACCUCUCUUUAUGCCUCAACAAGUGUGUUUGACUUAGAGAUAGGAAAUUUAAGUUGAUUUGCAAAAACAAACCAAGUGGUGGCAAAGAAUGAUCCAAAUAUGCCAAAUUUGAAUCAAAACAAUUUUUUGUUCUCAUUUGUGUUGAUGUUGCACUUAUUCUAGUUGCUUUGUGUUGUGUUGGCAUAAAUCACCAAAAAGGGGGAUAUUGAAAGGGAAAUGUGCCCUUGGGCCAUUUCUAAGGAUUUUGGUGAUUACGUGUCCAACACAAAUGCCUUAAGUAUUAGUAAGUGCCAAAUGGUGGAUGAAGUGAAAAUCAACACAAAGGUAUGAUUCUAGACUUAGUACAUUGAUUUUUGUGUACUAACAUAUUUGUCUAAGUGCUAGAAUCAGAGAAAACACAAAAGGAAAAAGACUUGGCUGGAACAGCCAAGACUCUGCGCAGUCUAGGUGCACCGGACAGUGUCCGGUGCACCAGGCUUGAGUCUGGUCAACUGGCCGCUCUCGGGAAUUCGUCGGCGGCGUACGGCUAAAAUUCACCGGACUGUCCGGUGAGCCAACGGUCGACCGCGCAAUCCGCACGUGACGCGUGGCCGAGCCAACGGUCUGAAUGGGGCACCGGACUGUCCGGUGCGCACCGGACAGUGUCCGGUACGCCAACGGCUCCAAAUCUUCAAUGGUCGGCUGCGCCAUUUUUGGAAAGCAAUCUGCACCAGACACUGAAUAGUGCUUGUCCGAUGGCACACCGGACUGUCCGGUGCGACACCCGACAGAAGGCAAGAAUUGCCUUCCCUGAUUGCCUCCAACGGCUCCUAGCUGCCUUGGGGCUAUAAAAGGGACCCCUAGGCGCAUGGAGGAGAAAUAUACAAGCAUUCUUUGAUCAUCUCUAAGCACCAAGACUUCAUUCUAGCGCAUUUGAUUCCUUGUGAUAGCAAUUUGAGCUCCUCUUGAGUUGAGAACUCCGUGUGUGAACUUAGAGCUCAAGCUGUGACUAGUGUGCGUGUUUGUGCUGUUGAGACUUGUGUGUGUUGCUUUUCCCUCCCUUACAUUCGUGCUUGUGAUCAUCAUUUGUAAGGGCGAGAGGCUCCAAGUUGUGGAGAUUCCUCGCAAACGGGAUAUUGUGAAAGAAAGAAAAACACCGUGGUAUUCAAGUGGAUCUUUGGAUCACUUGAAAGGGGUUGAGUGCAACCCUCGUCCAUUAGGACGCCACAACGUGGAGUAGGCAAGUGUUGUACUUGGCCGAACCACGGGAUAAACCAUCGUGUCUCUUGUGUUUGUUCUCACUGUGACUAUUGUGUUUCACAAGAUCUCGGUCCUUAGCCACUUGAUUUCAUUGUACUAACACUUAAUCAAGUUUUGUGGCUUUAAGUUUUAAGUUUUUACAGGAUCACCUAUUCACCCCCCCCCCUCUAGGUGCUCUCAAGCGCGCCGAUGUUCACCGUCGUCCGAGCUUCACCCGGGUGAGAAACCCAUUGCAUCCCACCCUUUCUUAUCUUUUCCUUUCCUUUUCGAGCUCGUGAUCGUCGGUAGCUAUGUGCUGGUGAGCCGCCAUCCGCGCCACCGUGAAACCGCCUCACCACACCUCUACUGGCUUGGCGCGUUGCAUCAUAGUUAGUCACACAUGCCCUAAACUCCUCCCAUCUCUGCGUGCGAGCGCAGUGCACCCUAUGCUGCCACGCAAACGACUUAGCUAUUCAACCAUCCAUGGCCGACGGUGACCCGGUCGAACUCCCAUCGCGCCGACACUAACGUGUGGCCAAACGCCCAACCCCAUGCCCAAAGCCCCUCCUCUUAGACCCCAUGUAACCUUGUCGGCAGACCGUCUAAAUGUCACCUAGAGGGGUGCAUAGGGGAAAGCUAAAAUUUAUAACUUCAAACACAAUGUUCGACCCCGGUUAGGUGUUAGAACGAGAAUAAUAACGAUCAGGGUGAGCGAGAGAGAGAGUUCUUCUUGCACAAGUUGCUCAAAUGAUUGUGGAUUACUCGGGGAGCAACUUAGUUGAUAUGGAAUCAAGCGCAAGCAAGAGAACUAGAGAGAGGAGGGAGAGGAAGAAUCAAAUCGCAAAUGACGGUCAAACACAAAUAACCUACUUCCCAUUGAGAAGUCCAUAAAGGAUGGGUCCCUUUCAACUCUUUCCCUCUCUCAAACAGUCACAGAGACCCAUUGAGUUUUCUUCUCUUCUUGGGGACACCAAGUCCUGCAAGGACCUCCACACAAAGAAACAGAGUCUCUUGCUUAACUAUACAACUUGUGAGAAUGGGAGUGAGAGCGAGAGCGAAAUUGAAAACCCAAAAAAAGAGCACAAGAGAUUGCAACACUCAAGAACACAAGCACUAAGUCUCUCUUCACUCAAAUCAGUCGAAUGUGCGCUUGUGUAGCUUUGAAUGCAUAAGAGUUGUUGCGCUUGAGGCAUGGUUGUUUGGUGUAGCCCCCAACCACCCAAAUAGCCGUUGGAGGUGAGUGGAGAAAACUACACAGUCGAGUGGCACACCGGACCUCCAAUAGUACCGAUCUGGUGCACCACCAGACCCCUGUCAUACUGCUACAACAGGUAGCCAUUCUGACGGGUGAUUGGAAAAGUAAUUGGUCUGAUGGCACACCAGACCUAGCCACAUCAAAUCUAACCAUUGAGAUAUGAAAGUAGCUAUUGGACCCAGAUGGUCUGGUGCAUCACUAGUCCGGUCCGGAUAGUCAGCCUCUGAAGUGCCUUUUUUACAUCCUCUCCGUGUAACCGAUCCAGAUAGGCACUAGACCGGUCCAGCAUGCCAGCUGGUAAAAACUGAGUCUCGACCUUCUCCGUGUAGACGGUCUGGUGCACCAUCGGACCGAUCUCGUACGCCAGACAACAACCCAGAUUUUAUAAACUUGUCCAAUUCUUCUUCAAAUGAAUUUUAAUGGUCUUGAGUAUAUUCAUAUGACUUAGACAAACAUAUCUAGAUGCAAUCCAACUUGUCUAAGUCACAGAACUUGGACAUUUCAAUUUCUCUAACUCAUAUUCCUGAUUUUAGCUCGAACUUGCUUCAAAAGAGCUCCAAUAGAGAUUCAUUGAAACGGAUCUUUCUAACCAUUUUAGAUGAACCAAAUAUGUUCCUAGGGAUAUUUAGAACUUAUCCAAAGUAUAGAACUAGUGCUAGUUCGACCAUUUGAAGUUUUACCCAUUUUGACUAGAGUUGAGCUGAUUCUGACUUAGAAACUGAAUUAUUGAACAUGUGAACCUGUGAAUCAAAGAUUAGGCAAACUAGUUAGUCUAAAAGGUUGUGAUGGUCAUCAAGUACCAAAAUCAAUUAGAGGAAAUGGUUUAAGGCCAUUUCCAUUUCAACGUUGUGUUGGCCUGAGCACCCACUGCAUGCUCAUGUGUCGCAAGUGUCGAGACGUUAGAGAAGACCCUCAUGGGACCCACCUGCGUGCUUCCCUUCAUGCCUGUACCCCCUCCUGGCCAUGUGUUGUCGCUCGAUGGGCCGCACAGACAACCCUACAGGCUGGAGUCAUCGCACCAAAUCCCGCUGCAGGCACACAAGAUCCAAUCGGAUCUUCUGUGACCUAGCCCCGUGGCCUUGUGUGUGGUCGGGUCGCAACCACUCAGAAUCGCAGUCAUCUCGGGACUUCUUGAUAGUCGCCUAGAUGGGAUGAUGAAUAGGUGAAAUCUCAAAUUUAAUCACCUCAAAAAAACUUGAUCUCAAAUUAGUUGGUUAGAGCAAGAGGUAAAGUAAUCGGAGUUAUGGAUAUAAGUUAUUCAAUCAUGUUGCUCUAAUGAAUGCAGAAUAGACUUGGGAGCAACACAAGAUGAUUAUAAUGGAAAUCAAUGCAAGAGAUCAUUUGGUUAUCUUCAAGAGCAUUCAUAUGACUUAGAAAAACAUAUUUGGAGUCUAUCCAACAAGUCUAAGUCAUAGUUCUUCAUUUUUUAUUUCUCCAACUUAGAUUCUCAUUUUAGCUCAAACUUAGCUCCAAUACACUUUUUUCCAAAAUCUGAACUUUUCAAUCCCUCUAAAAGGUGCUCAAAUACAUUCCUAGGGGCAUUUAUAACUUAUCCAAACAUAUGAACUACUCAUAGUUUAUCUUAUCCUUAGUAUGCCCUUUCUAGCCUUGUUUUGAGAUAUUAUUCAUAUUGAAUUCUUCAAUUUCAUUCUUAUGAACCUCCAUACAUUCACUUAGCAAAGUAGUAGUACAUAAGGUUGUGAUGAUCAUCAAACACCAAAACCAAUAUAGAAACCGCUAAAAGCCCAUUUCCCUUUCACUUUUGCUCUGAGGCCCCUGUCCUUUCCCUAAAUUAAUUUUUUGUUCGCUGAGUCACAACAAAAAACACUGCAAUCCCCUGGAAUAUAUGGAUAAUUAGGUAUAGGUCCUUGGAAUUUUGAAACCUCAUAACUUUUGCAUAAAAAGUCCAAAUUUUAUUGUUCAAGUUAGAGUAGCUUCAUAAUAAAUUUGCCUACAUGUUAACAGCAUUUUUCACCAUGUCUUGUACUCAAAUUAAUAGUUUAAUAUUGGUUUAACUAAGUUAAUUAAAACUAGUCUUUGAUGGAGUUUGAACCGAGGAUUUUUUAUCCUGCCUCACUGAAAUCAAUGUGAAUGAAAAUAAGGCCAACCAAGAUGUAUGGAUCCUAAUUAAAUAAUGUGAGUCCCUAGACGCCCCUAGUUUACUCACGAUUACUGCAAAUUAACUCCAUUCUCAAUAAUUUUUAACUAUAUGUUUAAGAUAUUGUGUAAAAUCAUUAAAUGGUAAAGUAGCCCAUGGUAUGCCUUCAAGGGCAUGACUAGUUUAACCCAAGAUAAUGAAAAUUUAUCUUUUUGUUCUUUGUAAAAUACAAACAUGGUCUUAAUGAUUUAUGUUGCCCAUAACUAAUAUGUCAAGAAAAUACAUUCUAAAUUAUCCUAGAGCCUAUAAACUCCACAUUUAAUGCAAAUCCUUUUCAUAAAUAUGGUCUACUUUGUUGCAUAUGGCUGGUGUAUUGUUCUUUUAUUAUCAAGUGUAUUGAAUGCAUGUUUGUAUCGUGUAGACCAUGAGCAAUUUGUGGUUUCCGAAGGUGGUACCAGAGAAGACCCUGAUCAACAAAUGGACAAAGGCAAGUGUCCUUUGACCUCCUUAUGUCCUAUUUCACGUAAGAACUUACUUUCCUGCAUAACAUGAUCAACAUUAGGAUGUCUAGUUCGUUGUUUUCCCGGUCCUUGUUUACCUUUGGGAAUGGGCAGUGAUGUUUAACUUUUAUGCUUGUGUUGAAAGGGAAAUAUGUCUUUGGGCUAUCUCUAAGUGUUUUGGUGAUUAACUUCCCAACAACUUUAUUGUUAUCAUUUAUUUAUGUAAGACACUUCCGUUAUGUAAUAAUGUUUGUGACAUUUAUCUCUAUACAUUUGGUCAUUAUAUGUGUUGUUUUUUGUGCACAUAUGAGACGCACCCGUGUUUACCCCUUAAAUCCGGGUGUGACACACGAUCUGCUGGUCAUAGCAUUCACUGCAUUUUUUCACACGCUGUAUAGUAAAUCCGUGGGUGUUUAUAGUAUACACAUGAGAGGGCUAUCUAUAGGUAGUUAGGUCAAUUUGGGGUAGGUCAAUGGUCGGACGACCACGUGUCUGUCCGGUUGGCCAUCUAUACAUCGAUUUUUGCUCAUCCAUAAUACGUUACUCCCUCCGUUUCUUUUUAUUAGUCGCUGGAUAGUGCAAUUUUGUACUAUCCAGCGACUAAUAAAAAGAAACGGAGGGAGUAUAUAGAGACUAAACUUUAGUUGGGUGUAAUCAACCACCUAUAUCUGACUUCACCUAUCUACGUGAGGGCUGAGGUGGAGUCCUUUCAACUCUUAGAUUCACCCAACACUUGUAUCCACGGUUGAUUUGUGUAUUUCUUGUGGUUCUUUUAUAGUCCCUUUCCCUUUAUAGUGAGCAGUUGCAGAAAGUUUAUACAUAAGGAUUUUCUAGUUGCACACGGUCCAAACUGUUUUAAAACCAGCGCGCACCAGACAAGAAGACCAGUACGUGGUACAGUGCGUGCGUCGCACACGGUCCGCUCGCGCGCCACGCCCACUUGGCCCGCCGCACCUGUGCCCGUGGCCCGGCCACGUCCCCUCCUCCGUCGUUUCCGCGGCCCGAUCGGCGACCUCACCACGUCCGCUGCCUGCACCCCACCCCCACCCAGCGGCAGCGUGUAGGAUAAGCCGCUUGUGGCCGCCUCGCCUUCCCCAUCACGACCACCACCCAAUCACCACGCCAGCUUAUAUGCCCCACCCGGCGCCACUCGACGUCUCACGGAGAAAAAGAAAGAGGAGCUCGGACAAGGCAGAGCGCCAUCGUUCGGUUUCCUUGCUGAAUUCCCGAUCGCUCGCUCGCUCGAAAAGAAAGAAGCUAGCUUUUAGCAUGGCGUCUCUGGCGUUCGGCAGCACCGUAGCGGCGGCCGUGGCGGCGACCUCGGGGAGGACGCGGCCGGCGCGCCGGUCCGUGCUGGUCGUGCCGCCCGCUGCCAGCAGGGGCGGCCCGGCGCCGGCCAAGGAGGAGAAGGGCCUCGGCGAGACCAUCUUCGGCUUCAUCUUCAAGAAGGACCAACUGGUGGAGACGGACCCGCUCCUCAACAAGGUCGGCGCCGCGCCGGCCGCCGCCUCCCGCGCCAAGACGACCGCCGGCAAGAAGGCUGCCGGCGGCGACGACAGCGGCAGCGGCGGGGGGUUCAACCUCGGCGGCCUCGGCGGGCUCUUCGCCAAGAAAAGCAGCUGAACGUGCCAAGUGUGGCGUGGUUUAUGGAUUGUCGAACUCAAAGCUGGAUUUGGCUUUUGAGGGGGAAAUGGUUGCGCAUAUAUAUUUGUGGACGUGUGGUGGUGUGACCAGUGAUCUUUGAUGUCAUAAUGUGAUAUACUCUACUUCCAGCUGCACCUGUGAUUUUUUUUCAGGACUUCGUUUUGCUCUCAAUCCAUAUGGAUUGGAUGAGAUUGAGUUAGUUUAAUUUUCAAACAAGUAAAAAUCUUUCAUAUUUUUUUCUAAUCUCGUCCAAUUCAAUAGGAAUAACCGAACCAAACCUAAUUAUGACAGGCCUAAGUAUGACAGAUGGGUUAUUAAAAUGGUUAAGCUACUUAGCUGAUCAUGUUUGAUUUAUGUCUGAUCUUACUUUACUCUUGGGUGCAAAUAAUAGCUUGGGAACCACUGAAUCUAGAUAUUGAUUGCCUUUGCUGUGCCAGUUUACAGUUUAGGAAUUAUGGACACUACUUAAUCCAGACAUGUGUAUAUAUCAGUCUCAGAUAAAUAGAUUUCUCUUUGAGAGAGACAAUAAACCCAACAACCCAACAGAAGUAUUGGUAAAAACCGAAUCAAUCGGUGAUGUGUUUUUUUUACCAUGAAUUCCUGAAGAGGGCCCGGUUGGCAACCAUGUCGGAAACACAAAUCCUUCCUUUAUUGUGUAGUAUAAUAAUCGUUCUGCUCAAUUUCUUGAUCAGAGUAGUGGAGUACUGGAGUUCCAGUUGCUGAUUGGCCUUGCAGAGUUCCUCCUGCCUUGGCAUUGUCAUGUUACAAAACUGAGGGCACACAACACAUGCUGUACCCUUUGAAUGGAUGGAAAGGAUGUAAAAUUUAUGAACUCUGGACAUAUCUCUGUACAGUUGAUAGGAACAAUGGUGAUAUCUCUGUACAGUUGAUAGGCAGAGCUGCCGCAGUAGCUCUUCAUGCUACAGCUUACAACCACACAGGGACAGGACAGUUAGGACAUCUUUGCCUUUGCAAAGAAUAUCCCAGCAAAAAGACCUGGUGACAACAUGCAGAUACGAGACACCGUUAGGGGUAACAUGGGUAAAAAGAAGGCCAUUAGAAAAAUGUCAUGGGCAAAAUAAACACUUACCAAAAACUAUGCUACAGAAAUUUUCGACGCUUACAGGGACAUUGAACAGCAAAAUACCAGCAACCGAAAUGGGUACCUUGUUCAGAGAACCAACGAGACUGAAAAAGAGAACAAAAUGAUAAGGACUUCUCUGCUCACAGGAGUGCAGAUCUCUUCUCUCUUUUUUUAUGCAAACAUUUUUGUACUGCCGUCUCACCUAUACGUUGUUGGACCAGUCUGAUGCAAAAACCACACUGAUGAGAAGCUGAUGGCUAGCCCUAGCAAACCACUAGCUGUUGCAACAACCCAGAACAUAGGCUCUCUGAUAACCUCACUGCAAAUCAAAUGAAAGUAAGAAGGCAACCAUUUGUGAUGAAGGCAACCAUUUGUGAUUAUGGACCUCACUGCAAAUCUUUUAUAUGUGCAAAGGAAGAAGGCAACCAUUUGUGAUGAUAAUUUGACUUUGUAUUAUUUAAUAAGUUGGUCGCAGGUUUUUUUUUUUGAAAGAUAGGCCAGGCAUACACCGGGUCUCGAGCCCAGGUUGCAUCGCUCUGAACUGGUGCACUCUACCAAACUCCAAACGAGCCAGAGCUCGUUCCCAAAAGCUGGUCGUAGAGAUUAAAGCAUCUUUUAUGAACAAAGGCAGAACGCUUUUUCAUGAAAGGAAGUUUAAGUUUAAUGUAGAGUAUGACGAAAUGAAGUUUAAUAUGUUUUGACUAAACUGGAAUCAACAGGUAAAACUUAAUGCAUAACAUGUCUACGAUCUGCUUUAAAAAAUAUGUCUAUGAUCAAUCAAAUCAAUAGAGUUAACUACUCUAAAAUGAUCAGGCCUGAAAAAACAAAAUAACAAAUACAUAAAUACAUUAACAAAUGACUCAGACCAAGUACUUUAGUCCACACCAUGCAAGUUUUUUUAAUUUAGAAAAGUAUGGUGAACAUGCAACAAGAUGAAAUUCUUACGCUUGAUAAACAUAUUCCCACUCAUUGAAGGCUAUAACCAAAAUGAGUGCGAAUGGAAUUGAGAGUGCAUUGUUGAGUAACACCAUAGAAACUUCAUUGAGGGAGCCAGAUUUUGUUGAUUGCUUAGCUGUAUCCAUCAAGCGCCUUAGUGUAAGCUGUUAUAAAAGGAUCGUGUAUUAGAGGUGCUAGGGACACAGCAGAACUAACAAUAUUGACCUCAUAAAAAGAAUGAAUAAGCUUGAAUUAAGCUUGAUAUUGUUCCGGUGUUGAUUAUGGACCUUAAAUGAACUAAUUCAUUAUACAAUGAAAAUCUAAAGAUUAAAUGCAUGACAGAAACCUCUGCACAGCAAUCCAUUGAGAUUGUAAAGAGAUUUACAAUAGUUUAUAGAUGUGUAAAACUAUUAGCACGAAUGAACUAACCGAGUAGCCUGCUGUUAGAAAGCAAUUCAGAAUUUGCCACGUGUAGCCAACUAGAUGGAAAGAGAGAUCUGUAAUCCCCCCACAUACAGCUGAUACAAUCUGCAAAGGAAGUGGAACAUAAACUGUUUACUGUUCAUGUAAAAAAAUCAUGCUGUUCUGGAGGUAAAUUCUUCGUGAAGGUCAAUACACUUUGAUAUAUGGAAGUCAAGCAGGAAUGAACCUACCAUCAGAAACAGUGCAGCCCAAACCUUCUUAUUCUGACCCUUCCUGAAUAUAUAUAUCUCUCCUAUAGCCGUUAUAAUAUUUGUCAUGUUCUUUAGUAUUGUCACCAUUGCGACGUUUAUGUACUUCAAACUGAAGAAUUGCAGAGACAGAGAAAAGUUGGAUUAAUCAAAAAUAGUACUGCAACUGCAAGCCUACCACACCAAUAAAGUUUACUUUAGAACUGAGACAACUACAACCUGAAAUAAAAAAAA
rnacentral:lncRNA from 1 species